rnacentral:lncRNA from 1 species
CAUGAACAAAGAUGUUCUUAGUAAUUUUAAUAGGUUAACAACUUUUGAAGACCCAGCUGGUCAUGCUCAAUCUUUGUUAGAAAAAGAUGUUCAUCGAGCAAUGAUUAAUAUAGAUUCCUAUUAACCUAAUUGUAGCUAAUUCCUUGAACUUGUUUCUUUUUUUAAAAAAAUGCACAAAAUGCAGAAAUAACUAUUAAUAAACUUUAUAGGAAAACAGAGCAUCUGUAUAAAUAUUUAUCAAAGAUAUUGCUAGAAAGCAAAGUUUAUGUUUAUUUUAGUCAAUUUAACAAUGGCCUCUUCAUCGAACGCGUUGCAUAUCCCUUGAUAACUUUACUUUGAUCUUCUUUAACUAUGUAACAACCUCUUUCAUAUGAAGCCUCUCAUUUGGUAACUCUGCAGAACAUUCUAAGCCAACUUGCAAAAUGGAUAAGGCACAAUUCUUGACUUUUAAAUGUUCCCUUCCAAUGGUGCUCAACAACUUGGGAUCUACAACUUGAUUUAGCGAAGAUGAUAUCGACUCUAUCACCCAACUCUUCAAGCUUCUUUCUCCUUCAAACAUUUCAUCUGUGGGCUAUUUUCUUGUGAUAAUUUCCAUCAAAAGAAUACCAAAGCUAUACACAUCACCUUUUGUCGAAACAAUUCCUUCCAUUCCAUAUUCUGUGUAUGAAUAUAAAGACAACAUUAUUAAUAUUCAAAGAUAUCUUGAUAAUGAAAAAUUCGUAUAAAAUAUCCGAAACAUUAUAUGCUUGCAUGUUAUAAUUGAACUGGGAUUUAAUCUAGUUGCUUCCUUAAAAAGUCACAUUUAAUAUGUUUGAAACUCAAAUCUUAACAUAUAUGAUCCCUUUUGCUAUGCACAUGCUACGCUUAUAUUGAAAAUGGAAAAAUAGACAUGGAGUUUGAUUAGAAGGAUCAGUUGGUGCCAUAUAUCCAAAUGUUGCCAUUGUCAUGGUUUGUAUCAUUGAAACCUCUUCACGUAAGAGUUUCGCGAUGCCAAAAUCACUCAAAUGCGCAACCAUAUCUUCAUCUAAUAGAACAUUGUUGGGUUUCAAAUCAUAGUGAACCACGGGUGUUGCAUUACCAUGGUGGAGAUAUUCCAAUGCAGAUGCAACAUCUAUCAUUAUGUUCAACCUUUGUAGGAUAUCCAAAUAUUGGUUGUUGGAAUACAACCAUUUAUCAAGACUCCCACUAGGCAUGAACUCAAGCACCAACGCUUUGAAAUUAAGAUCAUUAGAGCAACUGCUUAUUACUUUGACUAAAUUUCUGUGACGAGUGUUGCGGAGAACAUCACAUUCAACAUCAAAGCUCUUAAAAGCUCCUUCUAACUCUAACUUGAAGACCUUCACCGAAAUUACCGUCCCAUCCUGGAGAGUCCCUUGGAAUACUGAACCAUAACUUCCAUUACCAAGCAACCUACUAUCACUGAAUCCAUCAGUAGCUUGACGAAGCUCGUGGUAUGAAAACCGUCUCCACGUUCCUAAAGGUAUCAUGUCUUCUUGAGUUGGCAAUUUGUCUUUCCUCCUGUAUUGCAAGAUAAUGAUUAUCAGAGCCACAACCAAAAUUGUGGAGGCAAUUGGCAGAGCUACAUAUAUUAUGAGCUUAGUUUUUGCCUUGGAAUUUCUAAGAGAUCUAGUUUUGCAGUUUGGAACAUGAAGUCGAGCUGCACCACACAAGGCUUCAUUCCCCUUAAAUGAUUCGAUUGUGUAGUUUCCAAAUGAUCCUCCAUCAGGAAUUUCUCCUUCAAGUCUAUUAAAAGAGACAUUGAAAUAUUUGAGAUAACGGAGUUUCACUAAGGAUUUGGGAAUCUCUCCAGAUAGAUUAUUUCUUGACAAGUCCAAGAAUUCCAAACUCAACAAUUCAUCAAAAGACUCAGGAAUAGAACCCAUGAUUCUAUUAUUGGAUAAGGAAAAAUGAGUGAGGUCCUUGAGAUCUGCAACUCCAGUUGGGAUAUCACUUGAGAACUGAUUGUUCGACAAAUCCAAACUAGUCAAAACUUUCCAUUUUCCAAUGUCAAUUGGCAGUGGACCACUCAGAGAAUUUGAAGACGAGUAUAGGAUGAGGAGAUAGUUAAGCCUUGUCAACGUUGAAGGUAUUGAAGAGGAAAACAUAUUGGAGUCUAGAAAUAGUUGCCUUUAUGAAUUGACAUCACCUAAGCAAGUAGGUAUUGGCCCAGACAUUUUGUUAUUGGUCAAGAACAAGAAAGCCAAUUUGUUUAGAUGACAUAACUCAGAUGGGAUGGAUCCCUCUAACUUAUUGUCCUUAAGAGAAAGUCAUUGCAACUCUUCCAAUCCUCCAACUGUAGUAGGAAUCUGUCCUAUCAAUUUAUUGCCUCCUAGCUCAAGGUUUAUCAAGUGACUUAAGUUUCCAAUUUCACUGGGGAUGCUACCCCUGAUGUUGCAUGCAGAAGCAGAGAAAUCUUCAAGAGAACUUGAGAGAUUUCCUACCACUCUUGGAAGUUCACCACUAAUAAAUGAGUUGAUGUCGAAAAAAAGGUUCUUCAAGACUCUACAGUUUGUCAAAGGAAAGAGAAAGCUCAUUCCUGAGGAAGUUAAAUUAUUACUCGCCAGGUUGAGAAUAUUUAAAUUUCUUAGAUUGCCCAGAUUAUCCGGAAUGGACCCUGAAAAGUAAUUAUUAGACAUGUCAAGAAGAGUAAGCUGAGAGGCAUUGGAAAUAUACAUUGGGAUCGAGCGGGCAAGGUGAUUGAAAUCAAGAUACAAUUACUCCAUGUUUGGAAGGAAAAGGCCCAUGUUUUAUGGAAGAUGGCCAGAGAGCUGAUUUGUAUCCAAAGAAAUCAUCCUUAGAGUUGAAAUAUUGAACAGUUGUGGAGGAAUAGAACCAGCAAUAUUGUUAAAUGCUAAAUUCAACCAAUUUAGAUUGUUUAGGUUGCCAAUCUCAUGUGGUAUUAUACCUGCCAUAAAUUUUAUCAAACAAAAAUAUUAGACAAAUAUGGAACAUUUGCUUGUAUUUUGUUCUUCUAAGAACAUAAAAAUAACUCAAUUAUGAUUUUAUUAGAGUUUUGUGUGGCCUCAACUGGGAAAGAAUGGACUUAAAAGAAAAGAAAUAUACUAUUUGCAAUGACACGAAAAAAAAUUAUAGCUAUUGUAACAUAAUCAAAAUAUAGAAAGCCGUUGAACAAAAUUAAACCUAUCAUUAAAAGUUGGAAAUAAUUGACCUGUAAAAUUGCCAUGGGAACAAUCAAACAGCCUGAGAAGAGUUAAAUUCACAAUUUGUUUAGGAAUUUCACCUGCAAUUAUAAAAUUCACUUGUCAAAUUCAAAAUUCAUCUCUUAGUAAAGAUUAUAAGAUAAUAAAUGCUUAAUAACUUACUUAGCUUUCCAAUUUUAUAUAAUAAAGUCAUUUUAAUUUUCUAUUUAAUUUUUCGCCUUUAAACUUGUAAUAUUUGUCAAAUAUACCUCCAAAAUGGAUCAAAAAAUCCAUGUGCAUGUCACGUACUUAGUUUCUUGUUUGUUUAUCUUAUUUCUUCUCUAUCAAAGACCAAUAUUUAUUUUUAUUUGGUCCAAUCAAAAUAUAUUUUAUCAUUUCUGUAUUCGCAAGUCAAUAUAGAUGGAUAUUUCAAAACAUAUAUAUGUCUCUCUUAUUCUCGAUUUUCUCAAGCAAUUUGGUGGAAUACUCGAACGUUCGAUUCUUUUUUUUGGUCUUAACUUCAAUCUUUAUGAAUGAAAACAAAAGAAAAGAGUUUCUCAUUAUGAUCUAGGUUUCAUUUCUAUGGGUUAAAAAAAUUAAAAUAGUUAGUUGAAAGACCCAACAAAAAGUUGGUUAUAGAGGAGUUCAAGGAUAGAAAUAACCAAAACUCAUCUCAGCUACUGUACAAAUAGGUGUCGUAACCAUUUUUUUGUAAAAAGGUCGUUGACUUGGAUUUUGAAAAACGAAAACGAACAUGGGAGUCGCCACCAAUCCUUUUUAUUUAAGUGUGAUCGGAUCACCUUAUAAUUUAAUCAUUUUAAUAAAAGUUUUAAAUUUACUAAAACGAUAAUUUUUUUGUCUACAAAAUCCAAGAAAAGGGUUCGGGAGUUGGUUACGCAUGAGGAAGGAUUAGCACCAUCGAUGCACCCCAAAUUGGCAUCUAGUUGAUUAAUUAGUUUCUUAGUGUCGAAGAUUGAAAACUUUAAAGAGAUUUAAAAUUUGAUCCUUUAUUGAAAUGCUAAAAAAAUUUGAGGAAAAGGGCAUACUUUACGUUAAUCGAGAAAAGAGAAUUACGUCCCGUAAGUUAAGACACAAUACCACGUACUUUUGAGAAUAAGCUCCCUUUUGUUUUUUUUUCUCAAAGCAUGUUUAUUUUAGUUUUUAAAAGGAUAUUCGGUUAUUUGGGUUCAACGCGAGAAGAAUCAAGACCCAGUAAGUUAGGAUACGACUUCUCGGAUUUCCAAUUACAGAAUAUUGCCUUUAUUAUUUUUUAGAAAAGAACCUCAUCUUGAGAAAAAUAACAUGUCAUAUCCAAUGCGUUAGGACACAACAUAUCGAAUUCUCGAGAUAAGCUUUAAUUUUGGAAUUUCUACGUUUAAAUUGAAAAAGGGAUAUUCAGUUACUUACAUUCAACAAGGAGAAUUGAAGCCCAGUAAGUUAGGGCACAAUCCCCUCGAGAAUCUUGGAUACCGAGUAGUUGAAAACUUAUGGAUAAAAUGAUUUCAAUAUUUUUCUAAACGGAUGUAACGCGAUUGAAUGGUAACGUAUUACGCAAAAGUAUAAUUUAAAAAUAAAAUACACGUUAACGAAUCAUGAAUAAUAAAUAAACACAAACUAACAUAGCGAUAAUAAUCUCAAUCAUACAUGUCGAAUAUCGAUAUCAAUAUUUGAAAUAAAAACGAGCUAAUUAAUGCAAACACAAGCCAAGUGUAUAAGUUUUGAAAUGACUAGAAAAAUAAAUGGUAUGAAAAGAAUGGAAAUUGUGAAUCAAUAAAGCAUAUACAUAGAAAUUUUAACAUAAGUAUAUACAAAAAAUUUGAAAUAGAUUAAAAUGGAGUUUAAAAUAAAAUAAAAUAAAUAGUAUGCGAAGUAAAUUUUAGAGUAAAGGUUCAAAAUAUUAAUAUAUACAUAUAUUAAAAUUUUAAAAAAAGUAAUACGUAUGGGGUGGAUAUAAUAUGUGGUACUAUACGUAAAAGUUGGAGUUAGUGAAGUAUAUUAAAAUAGGAUUUUUUUUUUAGAACUACAUAUUUAUAGAUAAAAAAUAGAUGUUAGCAAAUAUAUAUACAACUAUAGUAAAGAAAGGACUGAAAAUUAAUAUGUAAUUUGAUAAAAACUAUGUAUCAUAAAAUAAAACCAUUUUAAAGAAAUAAAUCCCAUUGGAUUGAUAUAAUAAUAUGAAAUAAUGAUAAUGAUAUAAAACGUUAAAAAAUAUAAAUACGUAAUAAUAAAAGAGUAAAUAAAUAUAAAUAAGUGUAAUAAUAGUACCAAUAAUAAUAAUAGUAACAGUACUAAUAACAAUAAUAAUAUAAAUAAAAUAAUAUUAAACAGUUAAUUUUACAAGAAAAAAUAAAAAUAGAUAAAAUAGCACUGACAACAGAGAAGGACUAAAUUAAGCUUGAAAAUAAAAGUUUGAGGCAAAUCUAGAAAUAAAUGAAAAAGGGAUCGCGCUGAACACGCGAACAACGGGGAAAGACCAAAAUGGGAAAUAAUCCCAGCCUUCCAGAAUGUUGAGUUUUGCGCGGACCAGAUUGGAACAAAAAAUAAAAUGCGUGGCCAUAUUUAAAGGGAACAAAAGAUCGAUUUGAACUCAAUAUGGAAUACAGGGGACCAUUUGCGUAAAUUUCCCACGCGUUAUAAAACACGCAGAUCCGGGACCGGAUCGGGGCGGGUCGCGUGCUGGUCGUGCAAAACAGAGCCGUUUCAGCACUGAAACUCCCAGGUGAAACGACGUCGUUUCAAUAGCAAUAUAAAAGUUAAAAUUUUCCAAAAUAGACUCAUUUUCUCCUUGUUUCAGAAAAAAACAUUGGGGGUUCUCUCAAGUCCCAUUUCUCCAGCCCUAAACUUCGGCCAAAGUCUGGCCACUAGCCACCGUACCGGUCGUCGAUCGUCGGCAUUAGCGCCGCCGCGCACGGUGGUCGGCGAGGGAAAAAAGUUUUUUUUUUUAAUUUUUCAGCCCCCUAGACUCAAAUCCAACCACAAAACACCCAAAAACGUAAUAAAAAGGGACUAACAACCCUCUCAACGACGAGUUUUGCCACUAAAGAAGGGACCUUCUGACGAUCAAGGCGCGGCGUAACUCCGGUGAGUCCCUUCCCCUUUUUCUUAUUUUCGAACAACAAAAAGAAAGAAAGAAUAAAAAAAAGGAUUGAAAUCGAAAAUAAUCACCUUAAAAAAAACUUUCUAUUUUUGAUUAAUUUUUAUAUAUUUCGAAUCAAUGUGUGCGUAAAAAACUGUUACAACGAGAAUACUUUGGCUUUUAUAGCCAAAUUACAACCGUUUGAUCUUCAUCUUUUUGUUUUUUUUUUUGCUCUUUAUUUUGCUGGAUUCUUCUGUUGCUUUGCAUUGAUUUCUCUCUGCAGGUGUCAGAGGCGUGCGAUGCGCAUGGAGGUGACGGGCGGCGAUGGCAGUGUCAGAGGUGGCAGAGGCUUGCGGCGCACCUAGGGUUUCUGCCUCUCCCUCUUGCUGAAAAUUAGUUUAGGUUUUGGGCCAUUUGGGCUUUAAGGUUUUGAUUUGUUUGGGCUGUAAUUGGGUUUGUAAUUUAGCUGAUAAUUUGGAUUGUUUGGAUUAUUUAUUUUUUUGGUUUUAUUUCUGUUUAUUUUUGGGUUUUGGGCUUGGGGAAAAUUUGAUUAUUACAGAGAUAUUGAAGAUGGUAGAGGGAAUUGAACCUGAAAUCUGGUUUUCAAACAAAUACAAGACCUCUAGCUUUGACAAAUAGGCUAAAGAGAAUGGAAUAACACCUUUGAAGUUGUUUUGGUACAAAAACAACCUUCGAAGUUCAGUUAAUGAUCCCAACCAUGAUGGGAUUUCUCCACUGAAGGUGUUGUUACCAAAGCUUAAAUAUUUCAGCCGUCGCAAAUUGGAUAACUAGACAGGUAAUCUGCCAUAAAAACUAUUGUUUGUGACAUAAAGAAGAGAAAGGAAUGACAAAUUUCCCAAGUGAGGUUGAAGGGUGCCUACGAGUCCCAACUGUUAGAGUUAUUAAUAAAAUAGUCAAAGCUAUUACUAAGUCAGUUAGCAGUUAAGCUAUUACUAAGUCCGUUAGCAGUUAGAAAGUUAGCUGUAAUGUCAGUAAGCUUUAGCUUACGUGCUUGUAUAAAUACAUGUGAGGUCUGCAUGUUUUAAGUGACCUAAUGAAAAUAAUUCUCUUCUUGAUUCUUUCAUUUUCUUAGUUUCUUGUAGUUUUACAUGGUAUCAGAUGUAAGUUUUUCCAGGCAUUUUUUCUUCUUCUUUCGUUAAUCCGCUGUGCAGUCUGCAUAGUCAAUAUGGCCUUCAAUUCUUCUGACGGAGCUAUUGACAGUCGGUUCUUUUCUACAAAGAGGAUUAGUGUUCUUCUUGACGAUAAUACCUAUUUACUGUGGCGUCAGCAGGUUCUCUUGGCUAUAAAAGCGCAUAAACUUCAAAACUUCUUGGACCCUCAACAAGAUCCUCCCACUCAGUUUCUUGCCGAUGGUAGUGGUGGUUUUCAUGAGAAUCCAGAGUUUGCACAUUUUGAGCAACAAGAUAGUGCAUUUGCAUCGUGGUUGUUAUCUUCUAUUAGCCAAACGGUGCUUCCUCAUCUUAUUGGUAUGGAUACCAGUGCCAAGAUUUGGAAUGCAGUUGUUACUUGUUACCUUGUUUGGUAGUAAAACCACCUCUAAACUGAUCUCCUGUCGAAGAGCUUUGCAUUCUCAACGCAAGGGCAACUUGAGCAUGAAGGAGUUCUUGAUGAAUGUUAAAAGUUGCUGUGAUAAUCUCGCUAGUUGCGGUGAAGUCAUCAGCGAGCAUGAGCAUGUUACUGCAAUACUCAAUGGUCUUCUUCCAGAAUAUAAACCUGUCAUCACCAUUGUUACAGCAAGUCAAGUGCCCUACACAGUACAAGGUGUAACUUCCAUGCUUCUCGAUACUGAAGCUCGACAGCAGGUGAUGAGUUGUAAAGUCUCCAGUUCUGCAAACUUGGUGUCUUACCAGUCUUCUGAGUCUUCCGAUACUACUGGUUCAAUACCUGCUUAUCGACAGUCAUCUGCAACUCGGGGACGUCGGUGAGGGCGUUCGUCCAACACGAGGAUUCAAUGUCAGCUAUGUGGGAAAGCUGGUCACCUUGUUGACCGUUGUUACUAUCGGCUCACUUGUCCAUACACGUCAGCUUAAAAUGGACUUGUUGAAUUAAAACACCGACAGGUAGUUGAAACCGGCCUGUCCAUGUUAGCUCAUCCAACCAUGCCUUUGAUGUUCUGGAAUGAAGCCUUUUGCAGUGCCGUGUUUCUGAUUAACAGAUUACCCUCCCAUCCCUUGGGUGAUAUAUCACUAUAUGAAAAAUUGUUUAAAACAAAACCAAAUUACUCUUUCCUUCGAACUUUUGGCUGCUUAUGCUUUCCUAAUCUUAGACCUUUCAAUAAAACAAAGCUACAGUUUAUAUCUAUUCCUUGUGUCUUUCUCGGCUAUUACCCAUUGUACAAAGGUUACAAAUGUAGAGACCCUAUUGGUAGAAUCUAUAUUACUCGUCAUGUCACAUUUAAUGAGGCCAUUUUUUCCUACAAAAUGCAUAGUUCAACAGUCAUCCCAUCUACUGCUGUUCCACAGGUCAAUACAAAACUUCUUGUCCUACAUCCUAGCACUGUAUCUUGUAAUAGCAUCCCACCUAAUGUUAUUUCUACUAAUCCCUCUUCAACACCCACUUCACAGUCCACCUAUCCUAUUUUAGCUCAAACAUCACCUGCUUCACCUACGUUAUCUAGAUCCUCUUCACCUCCACAAUUGCAACCCUCCCAAUCCGCCCCGAUCAACACUCAUUCCAUGAUCACCAGGAGUAAGGUUGGAAUUUUCAAGCCAAAGGCUUAUUUGAGCACGACAUCUUCUUCUCCUAGUGAUGUUUCCUCUAACAUACAUGCAACGAUGGCGUUUGAAUGCUGGCGAAUAGCGGUUCACAGUGAAUUGCAAGCUUUGGUUCGUAAUAAUAUGUGGACUCUUUGUUCUCUCCCUGAAAAUGGACGAGCAGUCGGGUACAAGUGGCUCUUUAAAAUUAAAAGGAAGGCUGAUGGGUCCAUCGACAGGUACAAAGCAAGAUUAGUUGCGAAAGGGUUCUCUCAACAUACAGGGCUUGACUUUCAUGACACAUUUAGUCCACUAGUUCAAGCUUCCACCAUUCGCACUAUUCUUGCGUUAGCUGUUAUGCAGGGGUAGGCAAUGCGUCAAGUUGACAUCAAUAACACCUUUCUUAAUGGUGAGCUUACUGAAGAAAUAUACAUAGAGCAACCCUCUGGUUUUGAAGUCUCAGGUGCCUCUGGUCAGCCACUUGUGUGCAAAUUGAAUACAGCACUCUAUGGCUUGCGACAAGCCCCUCGUGCAUUCGAGUGUCUACAGGGAAUUACCUGCUUCUCAUGGUUUAUUUCGAUGACAUUGUGCUCACUGGUAGUAGUGUUCAAGAUAUAGAUGCUGUGGUACAUCAUCUUCAUAACAAAUUUGCUCUUAAGGAUAUGGGAACUCUCAGUUUUUUUUUGAGAAUUGAUGUCCAACGUACGUCCCAAGGAAUGUUGCUCAAUCAGAAGAAGUAUGUCACUGAGCUUCUUCUCAAAACUGGUAUGAUCGGGGCCAGGGAUUUAAAUUGCGGUCGCGGUCGCGUUUUCGGUCGCAUUGCGUUUAUCGCGGUUGCGGACAUAACGGAUGCUAUUGCGGUCAUUGCAGGUAUCGCGGUCGUGAAUUUUACAUUACUUAUUGUGUAUUGCGGGUAUAGCGGGUUUCGGCAGUAGCGGUUUCGGACGGUGCCGUUACCGCUAUAUAACGGCCGCUAUUUCGGUAACGGACCGCUAUUUAAAUCCCUGAUCGGGGCAGCUUCUACACCGACACCCAUAGUAAGCACUCCCAAGUUAGUUGCUUCAGAUGGCAGUCCUAUUUUUCCAAAUGUUCAUUUGUACCGAAGUACAAUGGGUAUGCUUCAAUAUAUAUGUAUUACACAACCCGAUUUGUUGUUCUGUGUAAACAAGCUUAGCCAGUACAUAAGUUCCCCCAGUGUCACUCAUUGGAAAGCUGUCAAACGUGUUUUAAGGUAUCUGGCUGGCACCAUAGAUCAUGGUUUGUAUUUUGCAGCAGGUCCAUUAGAGCUGGUGUGUUACUCUGAUACUGACUGGGCCUCAUCCAUUGAAGAUCGACGGUCUACGUCGGGAUAUGUGGUAUACUUAGGAUCAAAUCCUGUUACCUGGUGCUCAAAGAAACAGUCGGUGGUAUCCAGGUCGUCUGCUGAAGCAGAGUAUCGUAGCCUAGCCAACUGUGUGUCUGAACUGCUGUGGAUUCAACAGCUGCUAAAUGAAGUUGGAGUACCUCUGUCUAAGUUGCCAAUCGUCUGGUGCGACAAUUCUUCUGCAGUUUCAGUAGCUGAAAAUCCCACGCAUCAUUCUAGGAUGAAGCAUGUGGAAAUAAAUCACCAUUUUGUUCGUGAGAAAGUUCUUGCUGGAAUCCUACAGGUCAAUUUUGUUCCCUUUGAUCAACAGAUUACAGAUGUCCUCACUAAACCAGUUACUCCUAAGCUGUUUUCAUCAUUUCGACAUGCUCUUCGAGUCUUGACGUUAAGUGAACUUAAUGAUAAAAAAUCAAACAUGCUAAGGGAAUGUUAGUUAUUAAUAAAAUAGUCAAAGCUGUUACUAAGUCAGUUAGCAGUUAAGCUGUUACUAAGUCAGUUAGCAGUUAGAAAGUUAGCUACAACGUUAGUCAGCUUUAGCUUACGUGCUUGUAUAAAUACAUGUGAGGUCUGCAUGUUUUAAGUGAUCUAAUGAAAACAAUUCUCUUCUUGAUUCUUUCAUUUUCUUAGUUUCUUGUAGUUUUACACCAACCCAGUAAGGUCUAGAGCUGUGACUCUACGGUGCUUGGAUCCACAACUUACACCAAACCAAUAGCAAACGGGGGAAGAGGCUGACCAAUUAGUUGUUAAGACAUUUUCAGGAUCAUGAUGAAUAACAUGAUCUCUUAGUGUUAGAAGAGUUGAUUGAUCUGUAAGUAUGGUGGUUAAUUUCAUAGAGAAAUUAGUAGGCAUAGAAAAAUGGAAGAUGAUAAGAAGAGCUAAGUUGAGGAAAGUAUUCCCUGCUUAUCGAGCUACCAACGAAGGCAGAACUGAAUGUUGUAAUUUAUUCUUGCAACAUUGCAAAUUCUUUGAAUGUGAUUUAGGUAGAAACUAUAGAAUUUAUUAUAGGAUGUGAUAAUAUGAUUAUGUAAUUAUUGCUUAAAAAACUUCUUUCUAAAUUUCAUAUAGUUGCACUAGUGCUAAGAUUACAACUUUUUUUAUUAAAUUAUUCUAGAUUAGUGAAAUUAUUAGACAACGUGAUAAUUUCUUAUCAGAUAGGAAGUGACAAGUGAGCAGUCACUUCCAAGAAUAUAAACAACUCAAUCACUCUCUUAACUAACGGUAUCAAACACUAAUUGUUGUUUCUAUUGACUAAAAGAAUUUUCAACCAAAAAUAUGUUGACUUAAAAUUAAAAUAAACCAUCAAAUUUCUUAGAACAUUCAAUGAGGUUGAAAGAUUUUAUUUUUAAUUUUUGUUAUUUUGGAAUAAUUUUUUUUCUUUAUAAUUUUACCAAAAAAUAUAUUUUAACUUUUUAUUUUUUUUAGUCAUUAAACUUACAUUGUUUGUCAAAUUAUCCCAAAAUAAAUGGAAAAAAUCAACGUUUGUUAACUUUGCUAAUGUGCCACAUGUGGAUUGUCACGGGAAUGUCAAGUUAGAAAUUAAUUCAUUUUUAAAAAUUUAAAAAUUUAGAAAAUAUUAUUAAUUUAUUUUUAAAAUACUAAAUUUAUUUAAAAAGUAUAAAAGUAUAAAAUUAUAAAAAAAUUUUUAUUUUUAAAAAUUAAUUAAUUGCUAACGUGGUACAUUAACUUUUUCAUUCAUUUUAGAUGAUUUGACAAACAAUACGAGUUUAAAAGUUAAAAGUGAUGGAAAAUUAAAUAAAAGGCUAAAAUGAAUUUUUAAAAAAAUAAAUUUGAAGCGCCAAAAAAUUCAUCAUCCUUUUUUUUUGUCCUAUCAAUACGCUUAACAACAUGCCACCAUAAUUUUGAUUUUCUCUGGUAAGUCUGUAUGCCAUAGGUUUUUUAGGAAAGCUUUGUUUGUAAUUUCAUUAGUAUCAUCAUCUAGACUAGAGGUCUCUUUCAGUAGCCUUCUGUAACCACUCCUCACAAUAUACUCUCUUGUUACCUCCCCAUUCCAUACCCUAUUUUCCUCUCGUGGAUGUCUCGCUAGAGGAAUUUGCAAGAUAGUUUCUACCUCUUCCCCUGUAAACAAAGAGGUAACAAGAUCCUCCUUCCUUUGUCUCAGAUUAGAUUCACUCAGCUCUUCCACCUUAAUUAUAUUGUGAUCUCAAACUAACUCCUGGAUUUUUUUAUCCUUCAACCCAAGGAUCCGAGCAUCCUGCCACUCUCCAAGCCAUUCCAUCCUAUAGUAGUUGCUUCGUCGCCCAUAAGCUCCUCCAAGUAUAAAAAGGAUAAUUACCUAACUUUGGUUGCAUGAACUCGACAUUGGGGAAUAUUUAGCUUUUAAAGUUCUAGCUAAUAACAAAUCAUGAUAAUUCAUUAAACUCCAACCCUAUUUUGCAAAGGCUAAAUUCAACUUGGAUAAAUUUUUAAACCUUAUUCCCCCAUCUUCAUUUAGUUCACACAAUUUAUUCCAAUUGCAUCAAUGAAUCCCCCUCUUUCCUUUUUGUUUCUGCCACCAAAAUCGAUUUAUAACCUGUUCCAUGUCAUGACAUAAAGAAUUCAGUGGUAAAAAACAAAACGUAGCAUAAGUCGGAAUUGAUUGCAGUACACUCUUAAUAAAAAAACUUCCUUCCCUCCCUAGGGAAGUAUUUUAACACACCAAUUAUUUGUUCGUUUUGCAAUCCUAUCUUUCAAGCCCUGAAAGGUCCUUCAUUUUUGCCUCCCCACAACAUUCAAGAGCCCCAAAGACUUCUCUGGAUCCAUCAAACAACGCACCCUUAAUAAUUGAGCUACUGAGUCCUUUGCAUAUGUAGAAUUAUUUGAACUAAAAAAUAGUGUUGAUUUCUCUAAGUUGAUACUUUGCCCUGAAUAUUCUUCAUACUUCUGCAAAAUCCUUCUAAUCUCAUUUGCUCGCUUUUCUGUAUCUUCACCAAACAAAAUAUAGUCAUUCGCAAAAAGCAAAUGAGUAAUCUCAAGACCCUUUCUACAUACCUUGACACCUUUUGUUCUCCCCUCCCCUUUCACCAUCCUCAUCAAUGUCAACAACCCCUCUCCACAAAUCAAGAAUAGAUAAGGACUUAGCGGAUCCCCUUGUCUAAGGUUAUAAUCUCCUUAACUUGGACUAGACGUUAUGACCAUAUUAAAAAGGCUACAUUAGACUCCAAAAUGACUAAACAGACUAUUUGACCUUUGAAAAUCCUUAACACACAACUAGUUUUAAAGAAAAUUGGUAUUGGUGAUCCAAGUUAGAUAAAACAUUUGUUUAUUGGGUUUUCUUACAAAAAAAAACCCUAAUUUUUUUUCUAACUUUAGAAAAGUCAUCACCCUUGAAAUUAAUUAACAUUAAAACAUUCAUUCAAUUAGGCCAUCUUUACUUAGAUUCUAUUUUAUUAUUGUUGUCAUGUUUUAGAAAACUAAUUGUUUUGAUAUUUUGUUUCACAAAAAUCAAAUCUUUAAAAUGUAGUGGAAAACUAUUAUUCAUAUCAUUUUAGAAAUCCAAUUGCCUUAUUGAUUUGUUUUUCAAAGCAGUUAAUUUGUAACACAAUGAAAAAUUGGUGAUCAAUGCCAAUUUUACUUAAGCCAUAUAUCAUGCAAUUAUUAGUUAUUAAACUUCAGUAAUAUAUGCAUGCACAAAAUCUCCCUCCCCUAAAAAAUAAUCAAGCCAUAGACUAGAGGAGUUCAUGGGCCGGGCCGGGCUCAAAAAAAUUUUGACCUGUCCUAAAAUAUGGGCUUAAAAUUUUGAUCCAGGUCCUACCUGAGAAAAAAUUUCUAAGCUCGGCCCAACCCAUUUUUAAUAAACAUCAAAAAAUUAUUUAAAAAAUAAAAAGUAUUUUAAAAUUUCUAAAAAAUAUAUAUAUUUAUUAUAUCGGGCCAAGCCGAGCUCGAGCCUAGGCCAAAAAAGUGGUACCCAAAGCCCAAUCUAUUUUCUAAACCAACUUUUUUUUAUCUAAACUCAUAUUUUAAAUCUAUAUAUUUACCUGAAUUCUCUCAUAUUUCGGGCGAAUCGUCCUGACAUGAGCACCUCUAGCUUUUAAGGACUUGAUUUUCAAUUUUUAACUUUUCCUUUGUUUUUCUUUCGUUCUGUUUAUAUGUCAGGUCUCCAAGAUGCCCUCCUUAUUUGGCUCUAACCCUUCAUCCUCCGAUCCUGCAAACGACACCGUGCCUUCCCCUUCCUCUUCUUGUUCCUCCUCCUCCUCUCCGGACAUGUGGAAUUACUUUUUUAUCCCUAUCCUCCUCCACCUCACCAAAAAACUCUCCCUUGCUAAAGCUCAAACCUCAACUGGACUCCUCCUCCCGAGUCAACGCGGCGACGGCUCGGCCGAUGAUUCACUAAUUUCCUUUUCGAGGUGCGCGAAUGCUGACCCGAAGCUAUAUUAUCGGCCUGUGAUUGGGAUACUGAGUCAUCCAGUAGGCGGCGCGUCGGGGGGCCGUUCCUACAUAGUUGCGUCGUACGUGAAGUUCGUGGAAGCGGCCGGGGGUCGAGUCAUUCCUCUUAUUUAUAAUGAGCCGGAAGAGAUUCUUUUCCAGGUAAUAAUCAUGAUGUUCAUUUCCUUGUAAAAAUGCUGAAUUUUGACUUUGAAUAUUUGCGUGUGUGUGUGUUUUUUAAAAUUCGGUUAAAAAAAAUGGACAGUCGUGAAUCUAUUUUUGGAAAGAAAAAUUCCUGAUUUAGAAUCUUAAAUAACUUUGAUACUGUGAAAUUUGAUACUGUGAAUUUUUAAUAUUUUGUUUCAUAAUAAGUUUUUCCUCUUAAUUAAAUGUAAGAAUAUAAAAAUGCUUGCUAUUCCCGCAUUUCAAAAAAUUCUCUCGUUUUUGUUAAAUCAUAAAAUUAGGAUACUACCAGUUGUUGCAAUCUCCUUACUGUCUAUGCAAAGGAUAGAAUUUUAGCUUAGUUGCAUUUUUGUGGAUAUUCUUUAGUACCUUAAUAUUUGAAAUGAUAUUUUGAUUGCAUAUGCAUAUGCAUAUGCAUAUGCCUUUCAUUCCCUUGCUUUUGAUUUGCUACGAUUAGACAGUGGUAUGAUGCUAUGAUACCCGCUUUAGCAUAGUUGUUGCCUUCCUUUGCCAAAAGCCUGUCACCUUGCUAAGUGUCUUCUCCACCUUCGUAUUGCAGAAGCUUGAAUUGGUUAAUGGCGUGCUUUUACCAGGAGGGCGGUCUAAAUCCGGCUUGUACUAUGAUAUUGCUGAAAAGAUUUUCAAGGUAAUUUAUAUUUAUAUUUGUUUGUUUCUUGAUUUUAUGAAAUUCACAUGAAACUAACAAAAAAAUAUAGGCAAGAGAUUGGUGUUAGCAUGCAAGUCUUUUGUUUCUUCAACUUAUGCUUCAAAUGUUUUUAUAUUUCCAAUUUUCCAUGGGUUGCAUAGAAAACUUUUAUUCUUUGUGUUUUUGCAGAAAGUUAUAGAGAAGAACGAUAGGGGAGAUCAUUUCCCGUUAUAUGCCAUUUGUUUGGGUUUUGAACUUUUAACAAUGAUUAUCAGCGAAGUAAGCACCUCACAUUAUCUGACAUUUUUUUUCUGUUUCCUUUUUAAAAAAAAAAGAAAAAAGAAAAACAAUUUAAUUUUCUUCAGGCUUUUAUCUGUUUAUAUGGCUUUUUUAUAUGGCUUUUCUUGAUGUAGUUAACUUUUGUUCACUAUUGUGGACUUUCUCUACUAAUAUUCAUUCAUGCGUCAUGGCAGAAUGACCAAAUGAGACGUUUUUAAAUUUCUUGAUUUAAGGAACUCUAUAAUUUCCAUUUGUGAGAGAUUACUGUUGGCCUAACAUGGCUAAAUAAUGGCAAUUCCUGCAUGUUCACCGUAUUGUGGAAACUGCAGUAUUUGAUCCGUUAGGAUGGCAUGGUUACCUUGUUUGUGGCAUCCAAACCAAUGGUUGACCUUGCUGGAAAACAUUUUCUAAUGGAUUUGAAAUCUCAAAAUCUUAUCUACUGGUUCUUUAGAAAUCACUUCAUUUCAAGUUAGCUUAAACCUACCCAUGUCUACUGUAUCCAAUAACUUAUUUUACUUAAGGAUUUUCUUUGUUGAAUUAUAAAAAAUUUGACAAAAUCUUAUUUUAAUGAAUACAUACUUUUUUUCUUCUUGCUGAUAGUGUUAACAUUAAUGGGAGACAACAUUAAUGGCAAACAAUACAAAGUGGUGCAAGUUUAGCACCCUAAAGUUGACUUUGAAAAAGUGGCAUGGGAUAAUUUUUUUUGGUCCUUGAGAUAAUGGGCUAUUUAUUGUUUGGUCCUUAAACCUCAACUAUAAAUAAGCCUUUUCAUUUCUUAUUUCAAUUCAUCCCAACCAAUCUUUCUCUCUUAGUUUUCUCUCUUCUCCCAUUUGAGAAUUCUUAAGGAAUUCUAUUUGUUUGUAAUACUUUGAAGAUAGUAAAGUUAUCAUCUGGUGUUAGUGCCCGAGGACGUAGGUAUAAUUUACCGAACCUCGUUAAAACUCUUGUGUUCUUUCUUGUCCUAUUUUUCUUUCAAUAUUUGAGGGUAUAAUAGUAGUAUUUAAUUGUGCUAUUAAAUUACUAUAGAAGGGAUAUUCUGUCUAAGGAAAGACUUGGUAUUUAAGAGAUCCAUGUGAUCCACCUCUCUUUCCUGGGAAUUGAACUUUGUGUGAUUUUUUAGUACAAUAAUUUACACGUUUUCGACCCUAUUGGAACAACAAGUGGUAUCAAGAGCCGAAGGUUAAUCGUAGUAUGCUCUGUGGUUGCAGUUUAAACUGAUCUUCCACAUCAGAAAAGAUUUCCUUAGGUAUAUUGAAAGAUUAUGGAGAAAACGGUCGGUGUAGGAGCUUCAACAUCGUCCAUGUGGACAAGACCGACAAUUGCAAAUGCAAGAUUGGCCGUGGAGAUCUUUGAUGGCACGGGCCAUUUUGGUAUGUGGCAAAGUGAGGUUCUAGAUGCCCUUUUUCAGCAGGGUCUAGACAUUGCCAUUGAUGAAGAGAAACCAGAUGAUGUACAGGAGAAAGAUUGGAAGGCGAUCAAUCGGUUGGCAUGUGGCACAAUUCGAUCAUGCCUUUCUCGAGAGCAGAGGUAUGCUUUUUCAAAGGAGACUUCUGCAAAUAAGUUGUGGGUGGCACUUGAAGAAAAAUUUUUGAAGAAAAACAGUCAAAAUAAGCUCCACUUGAAGAAAAGACUGUUUCGCUUCACAUACGUCCCAAGUACCACAAUGAAUGAUCACAUCACCAAAUUCAAUCAGUUAGUCACUGAUUUGCUGAAUAUGGAUGAGACAUUCAAAGAUGAAGAUUUGGCUUUGAUGCUGUUGGGGUCACUUCCUGAGGAGUUUGAGUUCCUAGAAACUACUCUACUUCAUGGCAGGAGUGAUAUAUCUCUGAGCGAAGUCUGUGCGGCCUUAUACAGUUGUGAACAGAGAAAGAAGGACAAACAGAAAAACUCAAUCAGAGAUACAGAAGCUUUAGUAGUCCGAGGUCGUUCAUACACUCGGAAGAAAACUCAAAAGGGGAGAUCAAAGUCAAAGUCCAGACUCGGGAAAGAUGAAUGUGCUUUUUGUCAUGAGAAAGGCCACUGGAAGAAAAAUUGUCCAAAGCUGAAGAAUAAGGGAAAAGCUGCUGUAGAUGCUUGUGUUGCUAAGCAUGAUACUAGUGACUCUGAACUAUCACUGGUUGCAUCAUCAUCGUCGUUCCAUUCAGAUGAGUUGAUAUUGGAUUCGGGUUGUACCUAUCAUAUGUCCCCUAACCGGGAGUGGUUCUCUGAUUUAGUAGAACUAAAUGGAGGAGUUGUUUAUAUGGGCAAUGACAAUGCUUGUAAAACUGUUGGAAUAGGUUCAAUCCAAUUAAAGAAUCAAGAUGGAUCAACCAGAGUUCUGACUGAUGUUCGGUACGUGCCCAGUUUGAAGAAAAAUCUCAUCUCAUUGGGAGCAUUGAAAUCCAAUGGUUCAGUUGUUACUAUGAGAGAUGAGAUUUUGAAAGUGACAUCUGGCGCACUUGUGAUAUUGAAGGGCAUCAGGAAAAAUAACUUGUAUUACUACCAAGGUAGUACAGUUAUUAGAGCAGUCGCUACAGCUUCCGGUAACAAAGAAUUGGACUCAAUGCAGUUGUGGCAUAUGAAGUUGGGACAUGCCAGCGAAAAAUCCUUGCAAAUUCUGGCAAAGCAAGGAUUGUUGAAAGGUGCAAAGGCUUGCAAAUUAAAAUUUUGCGAGCAUUGUGUUCUGGGAAAGCAAAAGAGAGUGAAAUUCGGUACUGCUAUCCAUAAUACAAAAGGUAUUUUGGAAUAUGUUCACUCAGAUGUGUGGGGGCCUUCCAAGACACCUUCCUUGGGAGGAAAACACUACUUUGUUACUUUUGUUGAUGACUUUUUCAGAAGAGUUUGGGUGUAUACCAUGAGAACUAAGGAUGAAGUGUUUAGAGUUUUUCUUAAAUGGAAAACUAUGAUCGAAAACCAGACUAGCAAGAAAAUCAAGCGGCUUAGGACGGACAAUGGAGGGGAAUAUAAAAGUGAUCCGUUCUUCAAUGUGUGCCAAGAGUAUGGUAUUGUUCGACACUUCACAGUUAGGGAUACACCACAGCAGAAUGGAUUGGCAGAGCGUAUGAAUCGAACAUUGCUGGAGAAAGUUCAAUGUAUGUUGUCCAAUGCUGGAUUGGGCAAGCAAUUUUGGGCUGAGGCUGUGACAUACGCUGGCCAUCUUGUUAAUCGUUUGCCAUCAUCUGCAUUAGAAAGAAAAACUCCUAUGGAGGUAUGGUCUGGAAAACCGGCUACAGAUUAUGAUUCCUUACAUGUGUUUGGAACCACUGCAUAUUACCAUGUGAAGGAGUCAAAGUUAGAUCCGAGGGCAAAGAAAGCUCUCUUUAUGGGAAUCACUUUUGGAGUGAAGGGAUUUCGUCUUUGGUGCUUAAGCACAAAGAAAAUGAUCUGUAGCAGAGAUGUUACCUUUGAUGAAUCUGCCACAUUGAAAAAGGUAGCAGAUAAAGAUAUUCAGACGAGCAAUACUCCACAGCAGGUGGAGUGUACUCCAAAACAGGUGGAGUUUGAGCAGAUGGGGAUUUGCCCAGUUAAUAAGUCUAAUUCUCCAGCCACAAUGGAGGAAUUAGAGGUUGAAGAGGUUCUGACCCAAGAACCACUAAGUACACCAGAACCAGUUGCAGUUGUAAGGCCACGGAGAGAAAUUCGUAAACCUGCUCGAUUUACUGAUAUGGUGGCCUACGCCCUUCCCGUUGUUGAUGAUAUUCCUAUCACUUAUCAAGAAGCAAUGCAAAGCUUAGAAAGUGAUAAAUGGAAAAGCGCCAUGGAUGAUGAAAUGCAGUAUCUCCGGAAGAACAAUACUUGGGAGUUGGCGUAAUUACCGAAAGGUAAAAGGGCAAUCGGAUGCAAGUGGGUAUUCGCAAAGAAAGAUGGAUCUCCUAGCAAGAAGGAUAUUCGCUAUAAGGCAAGAUUGGUAGCUAAAGGCUACGCUCAGAAGGAGGGAAUUGACUACAAUGAUAUAUUUUCCCCUGUUGUGAAGCAUUCCUCCAUUAGAAUUUUGUUGGCUUUGGUAGCACAGUUGAAUUUGGAGCUAGCUCAACUUGAUGUUAAGACGGCUUUCUUGCAUGGUGAGUUAGAAGAGGAGAUCUAUAUGACUCAGCCCGAAGGAUACACAGAUGCUGGUGGUAGAAAUUGGGUUUGUAAGCUGAACAAAUCGCUAUAUGGAUUGAAGCAAUCCCCGAGGCAGUGGUACAAGCGAUUUGAUAGCUUUAUGAGAAGGCAGAAGUACACAAGAAGCAAAUAUGACAAUUGUGUAUAUUUGCAGAAGCUGCAUGACGAAUCUUUCAUUUAUCUACUCUUGUAUGUUGAUGAUAUGUUAAUCGCUUCGAAGAGCCAAAAUGAGAUAGAUAAGCUGAAGGCUCAGUUGAAUCAAGAGUUCGAGAUGAAAGAUCUAGGUGAGGCCAAGAAGAUUCUCGGCAUGGAGAUAAGUAGAGAUAGACCGAGAGGCAAGCUCUGUUUAAAUCAGAAGCAAUAUCUGAAAAAGGUAUUACAAUGUUUUGGUGUAAAUGAAAACACAAAACAUGUAAGUACCCCACUUGCUUCUCAUUUGAAACUUAGUGCUCAAUUAUCUUCGAAGACUGAAGAUGAAAGAGAAUAUAUGGCGAAAGUCCCAUAUGCUAAUGCAGUUGGGAGUUUGAUGUAUGCGAUGGUGUGUACGAGGCCUGAUAUUUCACAAGCUGUUGGAGUUGUGAGCAGGUAUAUGCAUGAUCCUGGAAAAGGACAUUGGCAAGCAGUGAAAUGGAUUCUACAGUAUCUUCGAAAAACCGUAGAUGUUGGUUUAAUUUUUGAACAGGAUGAAGCACUUGGUCAGUUUGUAGUUGGAUAUGUUGAUUCCGACUUUGCUGGUGAUUUAGAUAAACGUCGUUCAACUACGGGGUAUCUGUUUACUCUUGCGAAAGCCUCAGUGAGUUGGAAGUCUACCUUACAGUCUACAGUAGUUGUGUCUACUACAGAGGCAGAAUAUAUGGCAGUUACAGAAGCUGUUAAGGAGGCUAUUUGGCUUAAUGGAUUGUUGAAAGACUUAGGAGUUGUUCAAAGUCACAUAAGUUUAUAUUGUGACAGUCAGAGCGCUAUUCAUUUAGCGAAAAAUCAAGUCUAUCAUUCAAAAACCAAGCAUAUCGACGUAAGAUAUCACUUUGUGCGGGAAGUCUUUGAAAAAGGAAAAAUUCUACUUCAGAAGAUUCCGACAGCAGAUAAUCUCGCAGAUAUGAUGACCAAGGUGGUAACAACAAUCAAGUUUAAUCAUUGUUUGAACUUGAUUAACAUCCUAAGAAUUUGAGCACCUUCAGGUGUAUGGCGCUCGAGAGUGCAUUUGUAGGCACUACAAAAGAUAGCUUUAUCGAAUUUGGGGAGUUGAAGGAAGUGUGUGAAGAUGUGAUUAUCCUAAUCAAAUCUUCAAGGUGGAGAUUGUUAACAUUAAUGGGAGACAAUAUUAAUGGCAAACAAUACAAAGUGGUGCAAGUUUAGCACCCUAAAGUUGACUUUGAAAAAGUGGCAUGAGAUAAUUUUUUUGGUCCUUGAGAUAAUGGGCUAUUUAUUGUUUGGUCCUUUAACCUCAACUAUAAAUAGGCCUUCUCAUUUCUCAUUUCAAUUCAUCCCAACCAAUCUUUCUCUCUUAGUUUUCUCUCUUCUCCCAUUUGAGAAUUCUUAAGGAAUUCUAUUUGUUUGUAAUACUUUGAAGAUAGUAAAGUUAUCAUCUAGUGUUAGUGCCCGAGGACGUAGGUAUAAUUUACCGAACCUCGUUAAAACUCUUGUGUUCUUUCUUGUCCUAUUUUUCUUUCAAUAUUUGAGGGUAUAAUAGUAGUAUUUAAUUGUGCUAUUAAAUUACUAUAGAAGAGAUAUUCUGUCUAAGGAAAGACUUGGUAUUUAAGAGAUCCAUGUGAUCCACCUCUCUUUCCUGGGAAUUGAACUUUGUGUGAUUUUUUAGUACAAUAAUUUACACGCUUCCGACCCUAUUGGAACAACAGAUAGGACAAAAAAAUUCUUGAACGAUUUUCUGCAUUAAAUCGGGCCUCUAGUCUCCAAUUUGUGGAAAAUGUUAAUAUUGAAGGAACAGUAUUUCAAAGGUGCAAAACCUUUAUUACCUUUCAUGGUACAUUAGUAUUGUUUGAUUUUGGUGCCAUUUUUCUAUUGAUGCUUUUGCUCAGAUUUUACAUUAUUAUCCUUGGAGGAUUAAGUAUUUUAUAUUUCAAAUAUGUUUUGCUGGUCAGGCAUUAGAUGAUUUAUAGGAAAGUUCACAACAGUUAACGUGUUGAAGUAACGAAAGCCUCUCUGUAUGCGCUGCUAAUAAGGGAAAGAGUCUUGUAAUACAUAUGCAGUUUAUGUUCUGUCAGACUGAUCUCUCCAUUUCACUAUUUGAAUAAGAACUUUGUUGCAUGAGGAUAGAGAAAAGGAAGUCAACUAGUUGCUUGAGAUUUCCUGAAGUUGUUCUUCAGGUUAAAUGAUGACCAUAGCAUAAUAUUUGGUGUGAAACUUUGGUACUAUGGGCUUACCACUUUUCUUGUUAGCUUUUGCUUGCACCAUAGGCACAUGGCAAUGAAUUGGUAUGGUAACCAGACUUCACAUGAAGCUUUUAGUGUAGACCAUAAACAAGUUUAACACUUAAAUAGGAAGAGAAUAGAUGUGUGCUUGUUUAGCUUCCUGAUUAGUGUCAUUGAAUUUGUUCUUAGUUGAUUGAGGAGAGUGUAAUAAACCCUUCUCUGAACUUCAGAGUUACACCUUUGAUAAAUAGCAAUAGCUGAGCACAGCAAUAAACAUUAAUUGCCUGUUUGCUUUAUCAUCAAAAGGCUUUAUGAAUGUUGUAGGUAUAUCCAUUUAUAAUAUCUAACCUUUCAAUCAGUAGUAAAAAUGAGGUGAUUUUAAGCUGAUAAUUUGUAGUUUGGUCCAAGUUAGUAGCAGAACAAUAUUGUCAUAAACUUUCUACUUAGCCCAACCUGGUUGACAUCUUUUAUUCGAGAGCUUUUCUUAUAGUCAGUGUAAUUAUAUGUUCAUUGCUCCAGUCAGUGCCACACUUCUACAGCUUGAUAGUUAUUCUCUUUUGCCAGAUUUCCUCCAAAUUUGCUGCAAAAGCUUGGCACAGAUCGCCUAGUCAUGCAAAACCAUUGUGUGAGUUUCAUGGCUCCUUUCAUUUAUAUUUUAAAUUAGUUGCACGUGUAAGUGUUUGUCUUUUGCUUCUCUAGUAUGUCCGCUUUGGAUCAUUCCUAAAACCUUGAACUGAUAAUGAAGGAUCUAAAUUCUGAUUUAUUCAAUGUUUUCAUUUUUUUUUCAAUUUUUGUUGCCACUGGUUGCCUGUUUCCUCUAUUUGGCACUUUUAACAGCUUCCUACUUGUUAGCUUGUGCAGAUUAUUAUUUGAGAGAUGAAAUGUAUUUUAAUGCACAGUAAAUUGUUCAUGCGUUCUGUUCUCCUAAUAUGUAAUUUGAUUUCCUUGAACCUCAUUCUUGGUCUCUAAAAGCCUAACUUAGAAGAAAACUCAACAGGCAAGAUGUCGUGCUAAGAGUAGAGACCUGUCAAAGAAGAAAAAUGCUAAUAUUUCUUCAGAGUUAAGGAUAAUAUAUCCCUAUUCAAAAGUUAUCUUUCUUUCAUGUGCGUAUUAAGAGAAUCCUUGCCGCCCUCCUUUGUGGCACAUUGUCUGUGUUAUGUUUCUAUGUACAAGCUAAUUAGCAUUGCCUAAAAUCAAUGUCUAAUUGUAACAGUGGGGCAUUUCACCAGAGAAGCUUCAAAAUACUCCAAAUCUGUCCAGAUUCUUCAAGAUCUUAACAACAAGCACAGAUAAAAAUAACAAGGUUCUGAAUCUUACAAUCCCUAUGCCAUAGGAAGUGUCUUAACUUGAUUUAUCUCAUUACAUUUUAUGGCUGCUGUAAAUGUCCUUAUUUCUAUUUAAGUGUUAAUAACAGGUAUAUGUCUCCACUGCACAAGCACAUCGCUAUCCUGUCACUGCCUUCCAGUGGCAUCCAGAGGUACCUCUUUUAGUGCUUUCUGAUCAUCGUCAUGUUUAUGCCUCAGUACAGUUUGGCAUGGCAAUUUUAAUUUUUCUUGUUAAAUAAUAAUCAUAUCAAUGACCACUACAAGGAAUUGGUGUCCUUUUUUUCCCUAUUAACUUCUUUGUGUAUCUCUGCUUCUGUUUCUCUUACUCCUUUUAAUUUUGUUUGCAAAACUGUAGUGUUAUUCUAUGAUCCACUAAUACACUCCAUUUCAUUAUGAAUAGUCUGACCAUAUAUUUUGCAGAAAAAUGCUUUUGAAUCGGGCUUGUCUAUGAUUCCACACUCAGACGACGCCAUUGAAGUGACACAACAUGUUGCAAACUUUUUCAUCAGGUUAGGAAUGUUAAGUAAGGAAGUUAUUAAUAGUUCUCUAUAUUCUUACAAUUUAGUCAACGACAAACUGAGCGAAUGUUAUAUUCGAGUGAGACACAAUCUUGCUCUUCAGCAUAUUAUUUGGGUUUUGGGCAGCUGUUCCUAUGUGGAUAUGCUUUGCUUCGUCCUAGAGCAUAUGUAAGGAAGAAAUGUUUAAAGGAACUUAGAUAAAUUUUAGGAUAUAAACAAUAUAAGAAUAUAAAUAGUUUAGCAUGAAAGGAGAAGGAAAGGAAAUAGGCAAAAUUCAUUUUCAGCAUGCUAUACUACAAGUAGUUUUUCUGGCUGAGAAUGAAAUGCCCGUGGUUUUAUGAAUAUAAGAAAGAGGAAAGGAAAGAAAAUGCGUAUUUCUAAUUAUGUGACAGACUAGAGGUGAGGUAUUUGUGUUCGCGGCAUAAGAAUUUGAGUUCAAACCCUAACAUUGUUUCGCCCUACCAAAUUAUAAAAAAUAAAUACCAUCUCUUUCCUUCGUCUGUUUGGAAGAUGAGGUAAUUGAACUUUUCUUUUUUCUGGUACAGAGAGGCUAGGAGAUCACUGAAUAGGCCAGCUGCUCAAAAAGUGCGUGACAGCCUUAUUUAUAAUUACAGGCCCAAGUAUUAUGGGAAAGCUGGGUAAGCUGAUAUCAAUCCUUUUGAGUUUUGACACUAUUAGGACACCAUCCUCUUGAAUGUAAGCUGAUUGACAUGGUUGUGAAUUUGAAUGCUGUAGGAAGGGUUUCGAUCAGGUCUACAUCUUUACACAACGUCAAGCUCGAAAUUGAUAGAGUUGCGGCCGUGUACAUAGUUAAAGAUGUAUGUGGUUGGAUGUAUGUAUAUUGUUGACGCUGUAUUUGCAUUGUGAUUUGUAUCUGAUUGCUCUCUUAAUUUAUAUAAGCUACGGACUGGAUGCUUGCCAAUGAGGUGUAUGAGUAGUUAUUGUUGAUGAACAAAGUUUGCAAUGCUUAUUCUUAUUAGCUCAAAUUCUAAAAAUGAUAAUGAUUAAAGUAUAAUCUGUUACUUGUGUUAUAAAUAAGCUUGAAUACUUUACCAUAGAAAUAGGGUUUAAGCUUAAAAAUACAUUCUUUUUGUGUGAGAUAAAUAUAAAAAGAACUGGAUUUGUAUUUGAUGCGGUUUAUGACAUGCUAUUGAAAAUAAGUGUAAAUUACAUAAAUGUCAAUCGACUAUUAUAAUUUUUGUUAGAUUAUUCGAAUUUAAAAAGUUUCAAAAUAAUCAUUUAAUUUAUUAAAUUUAUUAUAUCCAAAACUGUUAUAAAUUAGUAACAGUCGAAUGGUGUGUUGUUAACUUAAUGAUAUGUUUUUUUAACCCAUUAACUUUUUUUCACAUUAUUUCCAUGUCAUAUUAUAAUUUAAAAAAAAAACUAAUUUAAACUCCAAAAUUCCAAUAUGACAUGGAAAUGUGGAAUAAAAUUAAUGAUUAAAAAGACAUAUCGUUAACAGCCACGUCAGCAGAUUAUUAGUAAUUUAACAGUUUUGAACUUAAAAAAAAUGAUUUUGAUAGUCUGAUAAUCAUUUUAUAAUUUUUAAAAAUCAAAUAAUUUAAAUAUAUAUAUAAUAAUCGGAUAGCCAUUUAUUAUGUAGUUUGCCAAAGUAUUUUAUCAAUUGGAAGAUGAAGCAGUAAACCAAUAAAUAUGUUGAAUAGUCUCCAAUUAAACCAUUUAAGAUAUAAAUCCCAAUAAGUUCAAUUAAUGGCUCUAAUCAACUUUACAAGAAAUAGUUCUUGACAAUUUGAAGGGUGAAUAAUGAAUUUUCAGAACUCUUUAAAGAAAAUCGAGAAGAAAACUACUUUUAAGAAUCAGAAGAAAAAAAUCUUACACAAAAAAACUAACUCUAAACACCUAAAGUACAUCUAAAUAAAACUCUAAUUAAUCUAAAUAGGGGUGAAGCCAUAAAUUUUUUAGGGAGCCAAAAUUAAAUUGUAAUUUCUACAAUAGUAAAAAUGUAAUUUCACCAUUUUAAUAACUUAUAUCUUUAUAAUUUUUAAAGGGUUAAAUCAAAUUUUUAUUAUUUUUAGGGGUCAUAAAGUGUAAUUUUACAUUUAUUAAUUUAAAUUUUUUAAAAUUUUAAAGGGUCUAAAUGAUUUUUUUUUUCAUUUUAAGGGAGUCAAUGCCUUGUCAUCUCCUAGCUAGCGUUUGAAUCUAAAUAAAAAAUAGUUUUAAACUAAAUUUUCUUAUUUAACUCAAAAUACUUGGCCUGCAAUAAUUUUUCUUGACAAAAAGAUCCUCCAAAUAUUAUUUAUAAAUUUGUAUUUGAUACGUUGAUAGUGUUUUUUUUAUUCUAUAAAUAGUUUUAAAAUUUUAUCAUAUAUCUAUUUUAAAAAAAAUUUAUUUAGUUUUAAUAUUUUAUUGUACACCUAUGAUAACACUUGUCAACCCUUAAUCCUAUUUAUAAAAUCUAAAAAUUUAGUAACAAUUAACCAAAUAUUUCUCAUUAUUUAUUAAACUUAAUUAAAUAAUAGGUUAUCUAGUAUUUUUGAGUUAGCUAUCUAUUUUCUUAACCAAAUAUUUAAAUUACCAUUAUGGACCUAUGUAGUUUUUUUUUAUAUAGGUAGACAACACCAUAAAGUAAUUACAUUCUUAAAGUACUAUUAACAUAGAGAAAUGAUAUUACGCUCAGCUAUUAGUAUAUUUCUCACUGGAAUCUCUCAAAAUAAUUGUACAUUACCUAAUCCAUGUGAAGCUAUCUUGGUUAUAUGAUCAGCAAUUUUAUUUUUAGAAUCUCUCAAUUUGCUAUUAGCCAUUCCACCAAUUAAAAUUAAUUCUACUAGAAGCGCAUUGUCGCAUUUAGUAUUUUUAAUUAUAAAAAAUAAAUUUAAUGUUAAAUAAAAAUUACUAUUUAAUAUUAUAUUUCCUCUCUCCUCAUAUACAUGUUCUUCCUUUCCGAUUCCGUCAUUUUCAUCCCUUUUCUCAUUCAUCUUCAUUCAUGCAGGUUGAAAGGUUUUUUCUUUUUCUCGUUAAGCCAAUGACAUGAAAUUUGGGUUUUUAUAUUGAUGGAGGAGAACCGUUUCUGGGUUGAAAACUAUAAAUUUUGGACUUCUAAACUUGAAAAACCUAUGGCUACGCUUUGAUAGCACCAUUUGUGGAUGAGGUGUUGAAGCAAAAAUCCUUUAUUAAAAAAAGUUUGGGACUUUGAUUUUUUUUUCAAAAGAGUUCUUUUUAUUUUCUUUAAUUGUAAAAAAACAAAGAAACUGUGUUGGGGCAAGAAAAAGAAAAGCUGGAGAAGAUUGAAAGGGUCUUUGUUUAUAUGCAGAAUAUUCAAAGAAAUAAUUUGAAUCAUUUCCCAUCCAAUUUUAUAAAAAUAAUUAUUUUAACCUUCUAUUUAUUAUUUUAAUCACUUUUUAAUUUUUAAAUUUAUAAUAUUUAUCAAAUUAUUCUAAAAUAAAUAAAAAAUUUAACAUCGGUUACUUUUGCUAAAAUGGUAUACGCGCCACUUAAAUAUCACAUCAUCAAUUAAUUUUUUUUUAAAAUUUAAGUUUCAAAAUUUAUUAAAAGUGUUUUAAAAUAUUAAAAAUAAAAAAUAUUUUUUAAUAUUAAAAAAUUAAUUAAUUACUAAUGUGACAAUUAUAAAUGCACACGUUGAUUACCAUAUCAACAAUGUUACAAAAGCUCAAUGGAGGGCUAAAAUGCAAGUCUAGUGUUACUAAUCUCACAUUGCUAAUAUAUAUAAAGUACAAAGAAUUUGAAUAGACAAUUCAUUAUAACUUGAGUAAUUGAGUUGGGUGCAAUUAGAUAGUUAACUUAUUGAGUUUUACGUAUAUUUGUUAUAAUGACAACUGGGCUUAAAUUUGGUGGUGUAAAUAAUUUUUAUAUAUAAUAAUUAUUUUUAUUUUUUAAAAUAAUAAAUUUUUAUUCGCAUUUGAACGAAUUUAUUCAAAUAAUCUAUGUUAAAAUUUACAGUAUCAAAUUUUACCUAACAAAAGGAAAAGAUUAUUUAUGACCAUAUAAGUUAUUUAAGAUUCUAAAUCAGGAAUUUUUCUUUCCAAAAAUAGAUUCACGACUGUCUAUUUUUUUUAACCGAAUUUUAAAACACACACACACCCAAGUAUUUUUAAUUAAAUAUAUAUAUUUAAUAUUAUAUUUCCUCUCUCCUCAUAUUCAUAUUCUUCCUUUCCUAUUCCUUCAUUUUCAUCCCUUUUCUCAUUCAUCUUCAUUCAUGCAGGUUGAAGGUUUUCUUUUUCUCAUUAAGCAAAUGACAUGAAAUUUGGGUUUUUGUUUUGAUGGAGGAGAACCGUUUCUGGGUUGAAAACUGUGAAUUUUUGGACUUCUAAACUUGAAAAACCUAUGGCUACGCUUUGACAGCACCAUUUGCAGGAGGAGGUGUUGAAGCAAAAAUCUUUUAUAAAAAAAUGAUAGGGACUUUGAUGUUUUUCAAAAGAGUUGUUUUUUAAAAUUGUAAAAAAAACAAAGAAAACUGUGUUGGGGAAAGAAAAAAAAAAGCUGAAGAAGAUUGAAAGGUUGUUUGCUUAUAAGCACAUUGUUAAAAAAAAAAUGUUUGAAUUAUCUCCUCAUAAAAAUUAUUUUUACUUGUACGAGUUCAUAAAAUUAGUACAAAUUAUCAUCAAAAUUCAGGCUAACUUAUCAGAACUUUGUUUCAUACAUGCUCAAUCUUUUGAAUACUCAAUUGAUUAUGUUUGAUUUUUGUUUGAAGAAAAUAUUCAUCGAGUAAUGAUUAAUAUAGAUACCCAUUAACUUUAUUAUAACUAAAUCUUCUUUUAAAAAAAUAUUCACAAAAUGCAAAAAUAACUAUUAAUAAACUUUAUUGGAAAAUUAAGCAUGUGUAUAAAUAUUUAUCAAAGACAUUGCUAGAAAGCAAACCUCAUGUUUAUUUUAGUCAAUUCAACAACUGCCUCUUCAUCGAACUCGUUCCAUAUCCCUUAAUAACGUCACUUUGAUCUUCUUUAACUUUGUAACAAUCUCUUUCAUAUGAAGCCUCUCAUUUGGUAACUCUACACAACAUUCUAAGCCAACUUGCAAAAUGGAUAAGGCACAAUUCUUGACUUUUAAAUCUUCCCUUCCAAUGGUGCUCAACAACUUGGGAUCUACAACUUGAUUUCGCGAAGAUGAUAUCGACUCUAUCACCCAACUCUUCAAGCUUCUUUCUCCUGCAAACAUUUCAUCUGUGGGCUUUUUUCUUGUGAUGAUUUCCAUCAAAAGAAUACCAAAACUAUACACAUCACCUUUUGUCGAAACAAUUCCUUCCAUUCCAUAUUCUGUAUGAAUAUAAAACAACAUUAUGAAUAUUCAAAGAUAUCUUGAUAAUGAAAAUUUCCUAUAAAAUAUCUCAAACAUUAUAUGCUUGCCUGUUAUAAUUGAACUAGGAUUUACUCUAGUUGCUUCCUUAAAAAGUCACAUUCAAUGUGUUUGAAACUCAAAUGUUAACAAAUAUAUAUGAUCCCUUUUGUUAUGCACAUUCUACACUUCCAUUGAAAAUGGAAAAAUAAAUAUGGAGUUUGAUUAGAAGUAUCACCUGGUGCCAUAUAUCCAAAUGUUGCCAUUGUCAUGGUUUGUAUCAUUGAAACCUCUUCACAUAAGAGUUUCGCGAUGCCAAAAUCACUCAAAUGUGCAACCAUAUCUUCAUCUAAUAGAACAUUGUUGGGUUUUAAAUCACAGUGAAUCACGGGUGUUGCAUUGCCGUGAUGGAGAUAUUCCAAUGUAGAUGCAACAUCUAUCAUUAUGUUCAACCUUUGUAGGAUAUCCAAAUAUUGGUUGUUGGAAUACAGCCAUUUAUCAAGACUCCCAUUAGGCAUGAACUCAAGCACCAACGCUUUGAAAUUAAGAUCAUUAGAGCAACUGCUUAUUACUUUGACUAAAUUUCUGUGACGAGUGUUGCGGAGAACAUCACAUUCAACAUCAAAGCUCUUAAAAGCUCCUUCUAACUCAAACUUGAAGACCUUUACCGCAAUGAUCGUCCCAUCCGGGAGAGUCCCUUGGAAUACUGCACCAUAACUUCCAUUACCAAGCAACCUACUAUCAUUGAAUCCAUCAGUAGCUUGACGAAGCUCGUGGUAUGAAAAUCGUCUCCACGUUCCUAAAGGUAUCAUGUCUUCUUGAGUUGGCAAUUUGUCUUUCCUCCUCCUAUUUUGCAAGAUAAUGAUAAUCAGAGCCACAACCAAAAUUGUGGAGGCAAUUGGCAAAGCUACAUAUAGUAUGAGCUUAGUUUUUGCCUUGGAAUUUCUAAGAGGUCUAGUUUUGCAGUUUGGAACAUGAAGCCGAGCUGCACCACACAAGGCUUCAUUCCUCUUAAAUGAUUCGAUUGUGUAGUUUUCAAAUGAUCCUCCUUCAGGAAUUUCACCUUCAAGCCUAUUAAAAGAGACAUUGAAAUAUUUGAGAUAACGGAGUUUCUCUAAGGAUUUGGGAAUCUCUCCAAAUAGAUUAUUUCUUGACAAGUCCAAGAAUUCCAAACUCAACGAUUCAUCAAAAGACUCAGGAAUAGAACCCGUGAUUCUAUUAUUGGAUAAGGAAAAAUGAGUGAGGUCCUUGAGAUCUGCAACUCCAGUUGGGAUAUCACCUGAGAACUGAUUGUUCGACAAAUCCAAACUACUCAAAACUUUCCAUUUUCCAAUGUCAAUUGGCAGUGGACCACUCAGAGAAUUUGAAGACAAGUAUAGGAUGAGGAGAUAGUUAAGCCUUGUCAACGUUGACGGUAUUGAAGAGGAAAACAUAUUGGAGUCUAGAAAUAGUUGCCUUAAUGAAGUGAGAUCACCUAAGCAAGUAGGUAUUGGCCCAGACAAUUUGUUAUUGGUUAAGAACAAGAAAGCCAAUUUGUUUAGAUGACAUAACUCAGUUGGGAUGGAUCCCUCUAACUUAUUGUCCUUAAGAGAAAGACUUUGCAACUCUUCCAAUCCUCCAACUGUAGUAGGAAUCUGUCCUAUCAAUUUAUUGCCUCCUAGCUCAAGGCUUAUCAAGUGACUUAAGUUUCCAAUUUCACUGGGGAUGCUACCCCUGAUGUUGCAUGCAGAAGCAGAGAACUCUUCAAGAGAACUUGAGAGAUUUCCUACCACUCUUGGAAGUUCACCACUAAUAAAUGAGUUGAUCUCGAAAAAAAGGUUCUCCAAGACUCUACAGUUUGUCAAAGAAAAGAGAAAGCUCAUUCCUGAGGAAGUUAAAUUAUUAUUCGCCAGGUUGAGAAUCUUUAAAUUUCUUAGAUUUCCCAGAUUAUCAGGAAUGGACCCUGAAAAGUAAUUACUAGACAUGUCAAGAAGAGUAAGCUGAGAGGCAUUGGAAAUAUACAUUGGGAUCGAGCCGGCAAGGUGAUUGAAACCAAGAUAUAGUUCCUCCAUGUUUGGAAGGAAAAGGCCCAUGUUUGAUGGAAGAUGGCCAGAGAGCUUAUUUGUAGCCAAAGAAAUCAUCCUUAGAGUUGAAAUAUUGAACAGUUGUGGAGGAAUAGAACCAGCAAUAUUGUUAAAUUGUAAAUUCAACCAAUUUAGAUUCUUUAGGUUGCCAAUCUCUUGUGGUAUUAUACCUGCCAUAAAUUUUAUCAAACAAAAAUAUUAGACAAAUAUGAGGAAGAAAAUAGUUUAUAUAUAUGAAACAUUUGCUUAUAUUUUUUAUAAUGUGUACAAUUAUAGACAAUUAGAAUCAACAAUAUUUACAAAAAAAAAUUAAUUCACAAUAAGUUUAAAUUGAAUAUUUUAGGUUUAAAGUUGGAAUAAGUUCAAAAUGAGAAGGGAUUGUAUGAAAUUGUGAUUCCACGUCAUGAUCAGAUUUUUCCUCCUAUUUUUAGCUUUUUCUUCUUGAAAAAAUUAAAAUCUAACUAAAAAAAGUUGAAAAUCAGGAGGAAAAAUCUGAUUUAUCAUUCUCCUAUUGGAAAGGAAUAAAAAUGACGUGGAAUCACAGUUUUAUACAAUCACUUCUCGUUCAAGAUAUAGAAAAUAAUGAUGAAAUAAAUGAUAAAGAACAAACAUUCAUAAGUCAAAUAAAAUAAUUAAGAACAUAAAAAUAAAUCAAAUAUGAUUUUUGGUUCCUUGAAGUUUUGUUUGGCCUCAACAGGGAUAAACGUAAAUAAUGGACUUAAAAAAAAAAGAAAUAUACUAAUUGCAAUAACUAUGAAAAAUUUUAUAAUUAUUGUAGAAUAAUCAAAACACAGAAAGCGGUUGAGCAAAAACAAAGUUCAAAUUAAUAAAAAGCUAUCGGUAAAAGUUGCAAAUUAAUAAAAAUAAUUUAGCUCUUUCUUAUACAUUCACCUGUAAAAUUGCUAUGGGAACAAUCAAACUCCAUAAGAAGAGUUAAAUUCACAAUUUGUUUAGGAAUUUCACCUGCAAUUAUAAAAUUCACAUUUCAAAUUCAAAAUUCAUCUCCUAGCAACGAUUAUAAGAAUAAAAUUAAGGUAUAAUGACUUGUUUAGCUCUUCAAUUUUAUUAAAAAGAAUCAUUUUAGUCUUUCAUUUAAUUUUUCAUCUCUUUUAGCUCUUAAACUUGCGAUGUUUGUCAAAUCAUCCCAAAAUGAAUUGAAAAUUCCAUGUGAUUGCCACAUCAACAAUUAGUUUUUUAAAUUUUAAAAAAUUCUAUUUUAUUGCUAACGUGUCAGCAAAGUAAACAAACAUUAACUUUUUCAUACAUUUUUUUGGGCUGAUAUAACAAAUAAUACAAGUUCAAGAGCUAAAAGAAAAGGAAAAUUAAAUAAAUAGUUAGAAUGACUUUUUUUUAUAAAGUUGAAGGGCUAAAUAAAUAAUUAUUCCUAAAGUAAAUAAAGCACGUUAGCAAGGUAUUUCACACAUACACACUUCCAAGCCAAGUUGGAACUAAAAGUAUAUUUCUCUCAUCAUUUUCAUGUAGUUUAUUCUUCAAUGUUCUUUUGAAAAAUUUCAACUAUGUAUUCGUUUAAUAAAUAAAUUUAUAUUUUCAAUCUCAAUAGAAGAUUGAUCUAAAUUAUUAUAGUCAUUACCUUAAUUUCAUUAAAAAAAAAUCGUUCCUUGCAUCUCAAAGUACUUAAAAAAAAGUAAACACUUCAAAAGGUUUUAAAAAUGGUUAGCAUAUGUUACCAUCAAAGUGGUUCCGACUGUUAGAAUUGUGUGACCCAAAUUCUAAGAGAUUGCUUGCAAGUCAAGUUAAACAAAAAUAUAUUUUCUUUCUAGAAGAUUUAGUAUUUAUUAGUAUAAAUAUAUUUAGCAUUUAUUAGUAUAGUUUAUUUGACUUGCUAAUUUAGCCUAUAAAUAGGCUCCUUUACAAUCUUAGAAUUAGAGAGACACCCAUUAGAUUAGAACUCAUAACACAUUCAGAGAAUUUUGUGUUUACGUUUGAGGGUUCUUUGUUUUUCGGGUUUUCGGGGUUUAGUUUUUAUCUCCAUCUUUUGUACUCUUCAUUUUUUUGCCAUUAUAGUAAAAUUAUCUUUGCCCGUAGUUUUUUAUCCUCUUUUGAGGGGUUUUCCACGUUAAAUUUGUGUGUUCAUCUUCUCAAUUUCUUCUACUAUUUUUACUUGUUCGUUGCUUAAUCGGGACGAUCCUAACAAGUGGUAUCAGAGCUAGUUUAACUUUCAUAGAUCAGCCCGGUCAGAGAUGGCAGCAACAAGGUUUGAAAUUGAGAAGUUCGAUGGUGAGACAAAUUUCAAUCUGUGGCAAGUUCGGAUGAUGGCAAUUCUAGUUCAAAAUGGCUUGAAAAAGGUUGUUACAGAGAAAAAGCUUGAGAAUCUAAAUCAAACAGAAUGGGAAGAGCUUGAUGAAAAGGCCUUGUCUGCAAUCCAGUUGUGCCUCGCGAAUACAGUAUUGCAGGAGGUAUUGAUGGAGAAUACCUCAUUCGCCUUGUGGAAAAGGUUAGAAACUCUUUAUGCGACUAAGUCUCUGGCUAACCGUUUAGUGUUGAAACAACAUCUAUUUACGUUUCGCAUGAACGAAUGUGAGCUUCUUAAAGAUCACAUCAGUCAAUUCAUUACUCUUUUAAAUGAUUUAAAGAACGUUGAGGUUCAUAUUAACGAUGAAGAUCAAGCUAUGCUAUUAUUGUGCUCUUUACCCUCUUCAUACAAGUCUUUCAGGGAGACCCUGAUUUAUGGCAGAGACAAACUCUCGUUCGAAGAUGUGAAGGGUUAUUUGUUGAGUAGAGACAAACUCGACAAUGAGUUUGAUUUGAAUAGCAAAGAAGAUAGACAAGCUUCCGUUUUGGUAGCAUCAAAGAAACGAGACAAAAUGUGUUGCUAUUGCAAAAAGUUAGGUCACGUCAAAGCAAAUUGUUAUAAACUGCGAAAUAAAAGAGCUGCUGAGAGUAACGAGGAAGAUGUAGCUGGUGCUAAUUUGGUCGAUGAAGGCGGUGAUGAUUUCUUGUUAGUGUCAACGAGCGAUAACUCCAAGCUUACGUCUGAGUGGAUCCUAGAUUCAGGAUGUUCUUUCCACAUGUGUCCCAAUAGAGAAUGGUUCUCCACAUACAGUUCAGUUGAAGGUGGAGUUGUGCACAUGGGAAACGAUUCAUCUAGUAAAAUAAUCGGUAAUGGUACUGUUAAAAUUAGGAUACACGAUGGGACGAUUAGGACACUCUCAGAUGUCAGGUAUGUACCUGAUUUACGAAAGAAUCUCAUCUCCUUGAGUAUUUUAGACUUGAAAGGAUGCAGAAUCAACAUCGAGUCGAGCGACAUUAAAGUAUCUCGUGGAGCUCUCGUUUUGUUAAAAGGUAAAAGAACCGGCAGUCUUUAUAUUCUGGAAGGUUUUACAGUGACCGGUGAAAUCGGACGUCCCUCAUCCGUUACAGAGUCAAAGUCAACUCAUUUGAAGCGGAGGCAACUUGGUCAUAGGAGGGAAAAAGGUAUGACCGUUUCGUUGAAGAGAGGUUCUCUUUUGGAUGCAGGUUUUGAAAAGUUAGGGCACUGUAUUCGUGAAAUUCAGACCCGGGUUAGUUUUGAUUUGGCAGUGCACAAGUCAAAGGCUAGAAGUCUUCCAGCUUCUAAGCAUAGAUUCGACUCAGUUAAUUCCCUGCAUAGUUCAAGAUAGGCCCGUGGCGGGUUUUGGCAAAGAUGGCAUUGAAAGAAUUUGUGUCAAGAUGGAGAUUGUUAGAAUUGUGUGACCCAAAUUCUAAGAGAUUGCUUGCAAGUCAAGUUAAACAAAAAUAUAUUUUCUUUCUAGAAGAUUUAGUAUUUAUUAGUAUAAUAUAUUUAGCAUUUAUUAGUAUAGUUUAUUUGACUUGCUAAUUUAGCCUAUAAAUAGACUCCUUUACAAUCUUAGAAUUAGAGAGACACCCAUUAGAUUAGAACUCAUAACACAUUCAGAGAAUUUUGUGUUUACGUUUGAGGGUUCUUUGUUUUUCGAGUUUUCGGGGUUUAGUUUUUAUCUCCAUCUUUUGUACUCUUCAUUCUUUUGCCAUUAUAGUAAAAUUAUCUUUGCCCGUAGUUUUUUAUCCUCUUUUGAGGGGUUUUUCCACGUUAAAUUUGUGUGUUCAUCUUCUCAAUUUCUUUUACUAUUUUUACUUGUUCGUUGCUUAAUCGGGACGAUCCUAACACCGACCAAUAUAGAUGUAUUGAAGCAUACUCAAAUUCCCAAUUUCUAUUGGUAGGCUCCCCUCCAUUUGGUUAUACGCUAAAGAUAACAUUUGUAACUCUUUGCACUUGAAUAGACUGGCAGGAAUUCUACCAGAAAGCAGGUUACGACUCCAGUACAAUCCUUUCAAAUUUGGAAGAUGAUCAAACAUAUCUUUUGGGAUAUGACCAGUGAGAUUAUUGGAGGAGAAAUGGAUGACUUCUAGCAAAAGUAAAUCACGUGGAACAAAGGGUAUGGAACCAGAAAGCAUAUUGUAGCUUAGAUAUAUUUCUUGCAACGAAGAGAUAUUGAAGAUGGUGGAGGGAAUUGAACCUGAAAUCUGGUUUCCAGACAAAUACAAGACCUCUAGCUUUGACAAAUAGGCUAAAGAGAAUGGAAUAACACCUUUGAAGUUGUUUUGGUCCAAAAACAACCUUCGAAGUUCAGUUAAUGAUCCCAACCAUGAUGGGAUUUCUCCAUUGAAGGAGUUGUUACCAAAGCUUAAAUAUUUCAGCCGUCGCAAAUUGGAUAACUGGACAGGUAAUCCGCCAUAGAAACUAUUGUUUGUGACAUGAAGAAGAGAAAGGAAUGAUAAAUUUCCCAAGUGAGGUGGAAGGGUGCCUACGAGUCCCAACCUAGUAAGGUUUAGAGCUGUGACUCUACGGUGCUUGGAUCUACAACUUACACCAAACCAAUUGCAAAUAGGGGCAGAGGCUGACCAGUUAGUCGUCAAGACAUUUUCAGGAUCCUGAAUAACAUGAUCUUUUAGUGCUAGAAGAGCUGACUGAUCUCUAAGUAUGGUUGUUAAUUUCAUAGAGAAAGUAGGCAUAGAGAAAUGGAAGAUGAUAAGAAGAGCUAAGUUGAGGAAAGUAUUCCCCAUUUGAAUUUGGGUGUUUAUGAAGCUACCAACAAAGGCAGAACGGAGAUUGCUAGACAGAUAAUUGAAUGAUCACUAACCGUAUGACCACACAACUUUUACAUAAUACGUGUAUGUAUAUAUAAAGGGAGUUUAUGUUGUAAUUUCUUCAUGCAAGAUUGCAAAUUAAUAUGAUUUACUUAGAAAUUACGGAAUUUAUUAUAAGACGUGAUAAUAUAAUUAUGUAAUUAUUGCUUAAAAUUUUUCUUUCUAAAUUUCAUAUUUCUUAAGAAAUUACAGUAAUAAAUUUUACAUAGAAAUAACAUUAACAUUAUUGUCAGUACAGGAGAAUGUGAAUUUGAAUGCAUUGAAACACAUUUAUCUUCUUAUAUAAGUAUUAGCAAAAAAAAUUAUGUAUAGUUCUAGACAUGUUAUAAAAAGAAUUUGAUAUAACAAGAUUUAGAAAAUAAUUUGCAUUAUUUAUUUUAGGAAAUUAUUGAAUAAAGAGAUCAAGAAUUUUCAAUUUAAAAAAUUUUAAAUUUAAAUCAUAACAGGAGAAGGAGUUUAGUUACUUUACAAUUAUCCAAGAUGGAUUAAAUUUGGUUUUAUAUCUAAGAUAUCAAAACCGUAAUUAGGUUAUGAUAAGCAUUAAACUAAAUUAUUGGAAUAAAAAUAUAGGUGAAAUUAUUAAUAAAAGCCGUUUUUUUUCAAAAUUUACUGAAAUGGGCUGAUUUUUUUAUUAUUUACCGGAAUGGUCUAUUUUCCGGGAAAUCGCAUCCACGUCAGAGCGAUGUCAGGGUACGUGUCAGGACAUUGCGUCCACGUCAGCGCGACCUGCUUACGUGGAAGGAAAUCGUGUCCUUGAGGGAGCGAUUUCCUUCCACGUCAGCAGGUCACGCUAACGUGGACGCGAUGUCGGCCGCGUGUGAACAGUACCCCAACGGUCAAAAAUUUGACCGUUGCCCCCCCAACGGUAAAAAAAAAACUAUAAAUACCCCCACCCCUUUUUUUUUUCACAAACAAAUCCUAUCUUCGAUUUCCUUCCAAAAUUCUCUCAAACCCAUAUUUAAUUUCAAUUUCCUCUCAAUUUCCUUCCAAAAUUCUCUCAAAUCCAUAUUUAAUUUCAAUUACCCCUCAAUUUUAUUUUUUAAAAUAAUUUUUAUAUUUUUAUAUUUUUUAAAAUAAUUUUUAUAUUUUUAUAUUUUUUAAAAAUAAUUUUAAAUUUUUUAUAUUUUCAUCAAUGGCCGGAUCAUUGAUUCGUCUUGAUAGGAUUCACAUAUCGGUGGAGCAAAUGAAAAUGGUAAGCAUUAAAUUUAAUUUUUAAAUAUUAUUUAAGAUUUUUUUAUUUAUGUAUUUUUAGAUAAUUAUUAAUUUAUUAUUUGUUAUAAAAGUCUGCAGAUCAGAUAUUGGAAUGCAAUAUCCGGAAUAUGCAUGCUCCUCCAUCACCGUUAGUAGAGAACUACUUGUGGGAAGCGGGUUUUUGGCACGUGGCGACGGUAGUCCGGGGAUGCAAGUUGGACCCGAAACUGAUUAGUGCGUUGAUCGAGAGGUGGAGACCCGAGACGCACACAUUCCAUCUUCCAUGUGGAGAGUGCACUAUCACUCUAGAAGAUGUCAGUCUGCAGUUGGGAUUGCCGGUGGACGGGCACCCAGUCACUGGGUCUGCCCAAUCUAGUAAUUGGGAGGCAGUGUGCUACGAGCUUUUGGGCGCUAUUCCGGAUAAAAUGGAUGGAGGUAAGGUCGAGAUGGGCUGGUUACGUGCCACCUUCCCCGAUCCGAAUGCAAAUUCAACUGAAAUUGAAAGAAUCUGAUAUGCUCGAUCAUACAUUUUUCAAAUAAUUGGAGGUUAUCUGAUGCCCGACACAUCACAGAGCCGUGUACAUCUAAGGUGGCUGCUAAAACUCGUUGAUUUUAGAGGAGCUGGUGAAUUUAGUUGGGGGUCUGCCGUCUUGACAACAUUAUAUCGGGAGAUGUGCGAUGUGACGCGACCGAGGAGAGAAAACAUCGGAGGUUGCCUGUCACUACUGCAAUCAUGGGCACGGUUUCGCUUUCCAUUUCUACAUCCUCGAGUGAACCACCCAUAUACAUUCCCACUCGUAACGAGGUAAAUUUUAUAUUACAUUUUGGAAUUAUUAUGUAGAUUUUGUAAGAAUAAAACUAUGCUAAAUAUUUAUUUAAUUAGGUGGAACCAUCAGGCAAGUUAUCGAGGAUUACCGUCUGAACUUGAAGAUAUACGGCUUCUAUUGGAGCAACGGUCGGAAGCAGAAGUAAGUAUUAUUGCAAAUAGAUAUUUCUAUACAUUCGCUAGUCGAUUGAUAUUUAGUAUUUAGUAUUUAGUAUUAUGUAUAUAACUAAUAUUUCUAUCAUGUUCAUAUAGUUUCAAUGGACACCAUACGAGGAUCCGGCAAUUCGAGUAGUAAUCUAGGAAGAGUUUUUACAAAAUCUGAACGCUUGGCACGCGAAAGUGGUGUUGAUCAACUAUGCAACCGUGGAGCCCCACCAGACAGACAGAGUGCUACGACAGUUUGGAUGUAGACAACCGAUUCCUGCGGACCUUGAGGUGUUUGACGAUCACCACAAAAUCGACCUUCGGCUAUUAGGUAUGGAUUGGCCUAGAUACUGGUCCGAGUACACACAAAUGUGGGAAAAUCGGCUUGAAUAUCUACCUACUCGGGAAGAAAUCAUCGUUCCGGAGUUAGCGUGCGUUCCAGAAUACAUGCCAUAGUUUAGGAUCCAUGGCAAGCCGUAUUUACUUAAGCCAGAGGAUAGGCAGCGGCAAAUACGUGUCGGCAGGGAAAGGCGCGGGCCUCUAAAUCCAAGACAAGAAUACUACGAAGGCAGCCCCUCAACGAGGCCCAGACAGUCACCGGCUCAUCAUCAGCAGCCAUGCAAUCACCGUCCCUAAUGAGAGCACCGACGCAGUCACCUGGCGCAGCAAUUCAACAGAUGAUACCCACGCAACCGCCUUUCCCUAUGAUGCCAGGUGUGUUUCCUAGCCCUUAUAUGUACCCUAACCCUUACAUGUAUCCUUUUCCGAAUCCUAUGGCAGGUUGGAGCCAAAUGCCCGGUUCAGCUCCAUUUCCUGUUAUGCCGAGCGGACCGUCGAUAUCUAGGCCAGCGGCGCAGGAGGGAUCGCAAGGGGGGCCGUCGGGGAGCUCUCCUUUUUACCAAUCGCCACCAACGUAUGGCUUUCAAACACCGUUGUCGUUCAUGAUGCAAACACCUCCACAUACACUAUUCUUUGAAGGUGGAUCAUCGUCCCAAGUCCGACAACCAGAUGCCGAACCGGAAGAACCACAAUCACCACCGAAGGAAGAACAACCGCCGCCGGAAGCUAGAGGAAGGAGGAAUCUAGCGCGUAACCGUCGACGGCCGCCAUGUGCAACUGAAUCCCUCGGGCAUAGACAUUGAUUGCCGUAUUUAAAUUUAUUAUUUGAUGUAAUAAAAUAGAAGUUUAUUUGAUGUAAUACGUAUAGAAAUUUUUUCGAGUUAUUUUGAUAUUAUUUGAUGUAAUAAAAUAGAAGUUUAUUUGAUAUAAUAGGCAUAGAAAUUUUUUCGAGUUAUUUUGAUAUUAUUUGAUAUAAUAAAAUAGAAGUUCUAUUUGAUGUAAUAAAAACCAUAAUUUAAUUAAAAACCCUAACCAUAACCUAACUUAAUUAAAAACCCUAACCCUAACCUAAUUUAAUUAAAACCCUAACCCUAACCUAACUUAAUUAAAAACCCUAACCCUAACCAAACUUAAUUAAAAACCCUAACCCUAACCUAACUUAAUUAAAAACCCUAGCCCUAACCUAAUUUUACAUAAUUUGAUAAUUUUACUAACCAUUAACACAAUUUUUGGACUUAAUAAUUUUACAUAAUUUGAUAAUUUUACUAACCAUUAACAAAAAUUUUUUUGGCUUAAUAAUUUUACAUAAAUUUACAUAAUGUUAGAUUUGGUAAAAUAUUUUGACUGGUACUAACAAUUAAGAAAUUAAAAUAAUUUGAUAAUUUUACUAACAAUUAAUACAAUUAUCAAUUAAUAAUUGAAUAAAAUAUAUUUUUUUCUAAAAUUACAUUCAACUAUUGCGAUUAGGGCAUGAUCGACUUGUAUGGCCUGGGUUCCUACACCAUCCGCACAACUUCUGUUGACUGGUUGUUUCUCGGAUAUCCAUAUUGUUCCGUAUUCUAGUGGAGCACGGUCGACCCUUUAGUUUGCGACGCAAUUCUCUAUCCGGUAACAGCUUAAAAAGAGCAAGAGAUACGGGCGGCCACUUACGUUCAUCUGGGACCGGUGGGAAAACGUGUCUCCAUACGUUGUACAUGUUUUCUAAUUUGUACACUUCGUCCACAUAACUCAUCGAAUCCAGACGGAGUUUCUGACAAGCUGCAAUAACAUGAGCGCAUGGAUAGCGAAGUACAUCAAACUUCCCACUGUCACAAGUCCUGUUUUGCAAGUGUACACGAUAUUGUCCGCCAACAACACCUUGGUGCGGUCUGUCAAACUCUGUCACACGAAACCAUAAAUUGUCUCGAUCGUGACACACUGUGUGCAUGAUGUUUGCCCUCGCCUUCGCCUUGUUAAUUUCUUGAACUACCUUACUGCACCAUACAUGGCCACCCUGCAUCUGGCCUGCAUAAGUUGCUGCUCGCUUUGGAAAUAGCGCCGCCAAACGGAAAUAUGUCUCUUGCACAACCGAUGUUAUCGGUAGAUGGCACGUUCCUUUAAUAACAGAAUUUAUGCAUUCUGCCAGGUUUGAUGUCAUAUGGCCAUAUCUCAGGCCUCCGUCGUAUGCUUGUACCCACUGUUCGAAACGUAUGUUACAAAGGUAGUCUGCCCCUUCUCCGUUUUGGGAUCGUAAAAUUACCAACAUCUCGUGAAAACGAUCUUUAUUUAUUUCAUACCCCGCCAAUAUAAGAUUAUAGCGAAUAUUUUAUACCACUUCUACCAAUAAAACUAAUUCAAAUUGACAAACGAAAUAAUAUAGUUAUAGACUAAAUACCCAUAUUGGUCACUUGUCGUCGUUCGCUCUUAGAUGGAUAUUGCUUGUAGUAGUUCGAAGCAGCGUAUCUUAGGCAAUAUCUAUGGUGUGUGCGCUGCCACAAGCUUCCCUGUCGAUCAAAUGUAGCAGUAUACCGGCGCCCCGAUCUGAAAUAACAUAGAUAUCAGGUUGGGGGCACACAUGCCUCCUUAACCUAGAGAGAAAGAAAUCCCAGUCAUCAGACGACUCCCCCGGUGUUAUUGCAAAUGCAAUUGGAAGAAUUUUCCCACCGCCGUCCUGUGCCACUGCAACCAAUAGCCGAUGAGUAUACCUACCGAACAUGAAGGUACCGUCAAUUUGUACCAAUGGCUUGCAGUAUGGAAAUGCGUCUCGGCAUUGCUUAAAGGUCCAAAAUAGGCGUUUGAACACUUGACAUCCACGUAGCAAUCGGCCGUUGUAGUACGCAUGUUUCGUUUCAAGGUCUGUGAUGGCACCUAGGACGUAUCUCUCUAGCACCUGACACCACUGUCAUAUUUCAUUAUAUGAGGCGUCCCACCCACUAUGCAUCUUCUCCAACGCCUUUUGCUUAGCUAUCCAAGCCUUGCGGUAAGAGGGCGUGUACCCCAUUUGGCUACGAAUAUUGGCAACUAUCACCAGCACUGAAGUCCUAGGAUCUGCUUUUAUCAUGGGCAGUAUCAAGCUAUCUAACAUAGCUGAAUCCAUUUUGGGAUGAUCUUGUGAAACACCUACAGAGGGAGUACAUUAAAUAAUGCAACAUUGCAAAAUAAAAUAAUUAUUUAGAUACAUUAAAUCAUGUACCUGCAGCACAUGUAUGUGGACCUUUGUACUUUUUAAUCUCCCACAACCUUGUCCUUUUCCUUAACGAGACGACGAUUUUCCAUGAACAUGUGCCGUCUUGCACCGCACACUUCGCCUCAAACUUAUCAGAUUUUAAUUUAACGACGUGGUCAUUAACGCCGUUUUUGAUGCUAUGCUGUUUCAAAGCACCAAUAAAACUAUCCUUGUUGGUAAACUGAUUACCAACUUCAAGUUCACCGAAAUUUACCCCCGAACUUGUACGAUCGCACAACCGGUGUGGUAGAUCUGGAAACUCUAACGCAUCAUCUGCUGACAGAUCGACAUUAUGCAUGUGGGCUGGAGGUGAGUAUGCUCUGAAUCGUGAAUUUUCUUCAUCAUCUGAACUCCUUUCAGCAUCUUCACCUUCUGUUGGAAUAGGCUCCGGUUCAGAAAAUAAUCUCACUUCUGCACCAUCCUGCCCGGGCUCUCGAGGUGGAUCCACAUCGGAGUCAUCUUCUAACCCACAAUCAUCUGCAGCGUACGACGUCCCUUCACCGGUUGACGUCGUAGGUAGUACGUCAUCCCUUCUUCUGGGCAUUUGAUAACGUUUCCAAUUAGAUGUAGAUUGCCAUCCACUAGAACUUGAUGUAGUUCCCCAGUACGUAUUUCCAGCAUCAAACGUCGAGCCACCGACAUAUAUGUCCCAUCCACCGACAGAGUGUCUUGCGGGGGAUGCAUUCGACAGCGCUACCGAACAUGGGCUGUUCUAUAUUUUGUAACCCGCUAACCGAGUGUCGGCCAGGGGUCGUGUAUACAUCUCAAACACCAGACGGAAGUACAUCAGUUGGCAACGUAAAUUGUACAUAUAACUCAAUAUAAGUUGCUCCACUAGCAAGAUGAGUCUCCACCAUUGCCUCAAAGCUACGAGCACAUUUUCUGUCGAACGAGUCAUAUGUCACCGGAUCAACACAAGAACAAAAUCGAUACGUGAUUGACAAAACUUUCAUUGGCAUCGUUCCGAAGAUUUUACGCCUAAUUCUUUUACGAAGUUCUGUCAAAUCUAUGUUCUGGUUAAAUGACAGUCACACCGUAUUCUCCGACUAAAGAACAACACCAUUCUCGGUGUGGCAAACCUCACCAUCGUAGUAAAUAACAGCACUAAUACAUUCACUCAUUUUGAAACUCUAACUUUCUUAGCCUCUCUAAAUUGUUUCUGCUAUGACUUAUGCAUUCUAAGAACAUUUUCUGCCUAAUUUAUAGCCUCAGCUCAAACUUGCUACUGCAGCAAAAUCGCGUCCACGAGGGCGUGAUUUCACAAUUUCUUCUCAAAUAGCAUCCUGGUACAAGCGAUUUUAUACUAUUUGCUCAGAAACGUCAAAAAAAAUUAUUUCUUACAUGACCUACUGUAGCAAAAUCGCGUCCACGAGGGCGCGAUUUCACAAUUUCUUCUCAAAUAGCAUCAUGGUACUAGCGAUUUUAUACUAUUUGCUCAGAAACGUAAAAAAAAUUAUUUCUUACAUGACCUACUGUAGCAAAAUCGCGUCCACGAGGGCGCGAUUUCACAAUUUCUUCUCAAAUAGCAUCCUGGUAGAAGCGAUUUUAUACUAUUUGACCAGAAACGUCAACUUAAAAUAAUUUAUUCCGGGACCUAAAAAUCCUAAAAAGCCUGAACCCUAAACCCUAAAAGCCAAAAAAACCAAACGUGAAAAAAAAGUCAAAAUCACGUCCCCCGGAAUGUGCUACGUGGCAGGACAUCGCGUCCACUUCAGCGCGACCUACUGACGUGGAAGGAAAUCACUCCCUCAAGGACGCGAUUUCCUUCCAUGUCAGCAGGUCACGCUGACGUGGACGCGAUGUCCUGACACGUACCCUGACAUCGCUCUGACGUGGACGCGAUUUCCCGAAAAAUGGACCAUUCCGGUAAAUAAUAAAAAAAUCGGUCUAUUUCGGUAAAUUUUGAAAAAAAAACGGCUUUUUUUGGUAAAUUACCCAAAAAUAUAAGCAAUUUUACAAUAUUCGUGGUGGGAACAUAUCCCAUCACCAACUUUUCAUAACUUCUUUUUCCCAUUUUAUAAAAUGUCUAUAGAUUAAGUACUGGCUCUUCAAUUUUCUAAGUAUUCAUUGUCUUACCCCUUUCUUGGGUUUGGUUUGGGAAGGUUGCUUGACUUCGUUGUGCAAUUUAAAGUCUUUCCAAUUUGUCGUUUUAGAAGUGAUCGGAAAAUUUGCACUUCUUCAUGUACUAGAAGAAAAGUGAUUGGGUUCAAAGAAUAAAAACAGGGAUAGAUUAUUUACAUAGUUUAGUUUUUCUAUUCCUACAGAGCCUACGUUAUGAGGAAUAGUUUAGUUUAUGUUGUAGUUUCUUCCUGCAAGAUUACAAAUUUUUUUAAUGUGAUUUACGUAGAAACUACGAAAUUUAUUAUAGGAUGUGAUAAUAUAAUUCUAUAAUUAUUGCUUAAAUUUUUUCUUUCUAAAUUUCAUAUUUCUUAAGAAAUUACAGUAAUAAAUUUUACAUAGAAAUAAUAUGUAGUAUUGAAAUUAAAUUGCAGUUGUACAAAGGUUACAACUUUUUUAUUAAAUUAUUAAAAUUAUUAGAGAACAUGAUAAAAUUAAAUGAGAACCUUUUUAUCAAAGUGACAAGUGAGCAGUCGCUUUGAAGAAUAUAAAUAACCCUUCCGCUUGCUUAAUUUGUGUUUCUAUUGACUAAAAAAAUUUUGAACAAAAAGGAUAUUGACUAAAAAUUAAAAUAACCAUGAAAUCUUUUACAACAUUCAACGAGGUUGAAAGAUUUUAUUUUUAAUUUUUUUUAAAUAAUAACUUAUUUGGCUUCUAAUUUUAUAAAAAAAUUAUUUUUUAUUCCUUAAAACUUAUAUUAUUUAUCAACAUUGGCUUACUCCUUCGUUGGGUUUGGUUUGGGACGGCUGCUUGACUUCGUUGUGCAAUCUAAAGUCUUUCCACUUUGUCGUUUUAAAAGUCUGCAUAUCGGAGAAUAUCACAAUUGAGAAAGAAUUAUAUAUUGCUGUGAAACUGAACGUAGUUGCUAAUAUAUACGUUAAGUGAUUAAAAACUUGGCACCUCUUCAAGUGCGGGAAGAAGUGAUUGCGAAGUUGACACUUUUUCUAAGUUAUUAAAAAAAAUAAAUAGGAGACACAUAUUGUUUACUUAGUUUGGUUUCUUACGUUUGCGGAUCUUAGUUUAGUGAAAAAUAUCUACUAUCUCCAACAUUUAUAAUGAGUGAUCUUAAAUCUAUCACAACUCACUACAAUUUCCUCACUUUUGUACUUUUGAAAAUCGGUACUUUCAUCACUAAAUUCACUCCUGUGAACUUAAUUUAUAAAAUCACAACACACAAGUUUUACAAUCAAAUGCACUCUUACAAACAAUAUUCUUCGCUUAAACAGACCAAGUUCUCUCAAUUCUCUAUACAAUCACCUAUACAAGUCUCUCAAUUAUAAAUAGAUUUCGAGAUUUACUAACAUAAUGAAAAUCUAUAUCAAUCUCUAUUAAACAACAACUAAACUAGUUGAAUAAAUUAUAAUAAUAAAUAAGGUAAACAAGGAUUGUUGGCAGCUAAGUCUUCUACGUUCCAAUUCGAUUCAACUUUCUCGAUCCAAGCGAUUAGAUAUACAUGGUCCGAUCCAAUCCGAUCCCUUAAACAUGUUUCCUGAAGUGAUAUGAUCUGUAACACCCCAAACCCAGCCUAACGUUAUAUAUGGUCUAACAUAUAAUAAAAUUUAUUAUUUAUAAAAUAAACUAAAAAUAAAAAGAGAGAAAAGUUUGAAUAUGGUUUAAAUAUUGUUUGUGAGGUUUUUUUAAAAAAUAUUUUAUUUAUAAAAAUAUUAUUUUAAGAAAUAAAUGUUAUGUUAGAAAGAAGAGAAAAUGGGUAUUCAUGUGUAUUUAUAAUUGUGUUAUGUAUUGUUAUAAAAAUUUAUGUGUUUUUAUAAAAAAAAAACUUUUACAUAUUUUGAAUUUUUAAGAAGUAAAACUACAUUGACAAAAUGUAUAAAAUUGAGAGCUAAAUUUGUUGAUUUUUUAGAGUUAAAGCUAAAUUGAUAGAAUCUGUCAACAUUAGAGGGUUAAAUUUGUUAUUAUAUUAAUAAAAAAUGCCACCGUUAAUGAUUUAACAGAGGAACAACAAAAAUAUUAAAAUUUGAUAAUAUUAAUGAAUGAAAUAAAAAUUUUUAAACUUAAAUGACCAAAAUAGAAACACACUAAUAAUUAGAUAAACUAUUUUUUUUACUUUUCCCUAGAUUUAAUAAUGUUACCCGAUUUUCCAUGAUUCCUCCAUUUUCUUACCCCUUUCUUGGGGUUGGGACCCGGCUUCACUUUAUUUGUGCAAUCUAAAGGCCUUUCAACUAUGUCAACAAUUGCUUAUGAACUUAUAAUGCGAAACCUUAAGCAAUUGGACAACGAAGCUAUCACUUUUCUUCUUCAAGGAUAAUUAAGAUGGGUCCGGCAUGGUCACUAAAUUUCCAUCACUUUUUGGCCAUUUUCUUUUCUAUGUUUUGCACAUUUUUAAAUCUCUAUACAUUCAAUAAUGCUCCCCAAUUGAAGGUUCUUCUUUUUCAAACCUCGUCUUUUACUCGACUUUGUUGUGCAAUUUAAAGUCUUUCAGCUUUGUUGUUUGGGUAACUUAUAAAAAUAGUCACUUAAUUUUAGUUAAAUUUAUUUUCUCACUGAAUUAUAAAAAAAUUACAUUUUAGUCACUAACAGUAUCGAGUUAUAACGUUUUGGUCACUCAUCCAUUAACCGCCAUUUUAUCCUUAAGGAAAAGUGCCGUUAACUCAAGGGUUAAUAUUUAAUUUGACCUUUGAACUAUAGUUAAAACAUUCAACUUGGUCAUAAUUUAUUAAAAAAUAUUAAAAAUAAAAAAUUUAAAAAUUUAUUUAUUGUUUGAUACUAUAAAAAAUAUAUAUUUUGAAAUUGUAAUUAUGUAAUGUUUUAAAAAACCAUAGAAUCCUUUAAAUUUAAAUUAUAUUAGAAAUCCUAUCACAGUUGUGCACAUGUGGCAAUCAUGAAUUUAGAACAUAGAUUUGUGUUUAAAAAUGAAAUCCAAUAAAUAAUGAAAUCGUAUAGUUUGAAACUAAUUAAUCAUAAUAACACAUGAAAUAUGUAUGAUAUUAAAGUUAAAAAAUUAGAUUAAAUUGUGAGUAAAACUAAACUUAAACAUAUAAAUACAUUAAAUUAACAAUACUAAACCAACUCAACUAAUAACAUUAUUAAUAUAUACAAUGGAUGAAGUGUGCAUAAUAAAAUUAAAUUGUAUAUGAAAAAAUCAAAAUAAAACUUUGGUUGAGUGGUUAAUUUAGGGUUUUGCUAAUGUGAUUGACGUAGAUAUUAUAAUAUGUAUAUUUUUUAUUUUUUUAAGAAAGUAAAAGAUUAAAGUACCCCCGAAUAAUAUAAUUUAUUUAAUUACAAAAGAACAUUUCCAUAAUUUCUCUAACCGAGUUGAUGCUCGUCUAACUCGUAAUAUCAACUCAAUCAAAGACUUAAAAUAAUGGUAUAGAUAAAAAUGUAGAUUGAGUCAUGGUUAUCUGAACCUAUUGAACUGGCAAUGAUACCAGUCUGGAGAGAGGCAUUAGAUCAGUUCACUCGCAAACCAGUACAGACCAAUAUUAGAACUAGACUAAAAAACUGAUUGAAUCGUUUUUUUAAUAUUUUAAUAAUUUGUAAUCCAACUAUACAAACCAAUAUUUCAACCACCAUUUUAGUUCUAAAAACUUUGCUUAAAGUAUAUUUAAUUUUUAAUUAUUUACUUUAUAAUUCUACACAAAUACAUAAUUACCGCAGCUUCAGAACAGACGAGGACUAAGAAAAAGAAUCAGCUAAUUUUACUGAUUGCAAUUCUAUGAGUAACGCAGCAAACUUAGCUUUCUUUAAUUUCGUCUCACACUAAUAAUUUGUAUCUAUGAUUUAACUUGGACAAGAUCUUUAUCAAGUUGUUUUUUAUGCAAUUGACUAAUAAAAUUCCAUAUUGAGCCAUCGAAUUUACGAGAAAUGGAUACAACAAUGACUUCAAAAUAAAUUGGACUUUUUAUUUUGCAAUUCACUUUUAUAGUUUCAAUAAUGGCCAACCAAUUUUCCAUGACUUUUAUAGCUUGACUUAAGUUGUGCAAUCUAAAGUCUUUUUCUAAACCGUGAGAACAGAAGAAAACAUAUGAGCAGCCAUUGUUGAAGUCCCAUGUUCGGCCAAGCUUCUCAUUUUACACGGUGAGUAAUUUUAAUCUCGUUUUUCAUGAAUUUUAUAUUUUUGAGAUUAUUGUAAUUUUAAUCUAGUUUAGCUAACUCAAGUGUUAAUUUUUGAAACUGUUAAAAUUUCUAAAUGUUACUAUUGAUGAAUGAUUGAUGAAAUUAGUAUUAAUUGAUUAGAUUUUUCUGCUUAGAUAUGAAAAAGGCUUAAUUAUCAAUUAUCAAUUCCAAAUAAAAAAUAUUAUUGAUAUUUUCUAUUAUGAAAACCCAUUCUCAAUGUGUUGAAUCGUUGAACAAGUAAUUUUUACUUCUAUUGUGGCAAAUUCAAUGGAGGGAGUUAUCUUCUUAUUUCUACCAUAAAAAGUUUCUCAAUAAAUUUCAUUGGGUGAAAAUUUUGAGUUAGAUUAGAGUGCUUCAAAAUCUCAUGGCAAUUAACAAAUUACGUGAAUGUGUGUGAAAAUAGGAAGGAUAUUAGUAGUUCACCUCUAAUUGCUUAGGCAUGAUACUCGUUGUGAAAAUAGGAAGUUUCUCAACAAUUCCCAUGAUACUUGUUGGAUAACUCGAUCAUCUUUUUUACAGGAUGUAAACUUUUCUAAAUGAUAAGGAAAGGAAAAGAAAACUUAGGCAAUUCAAUUUAAGUAGUUCACAUUUAAUUGCCUACCUCCACUUAGUAUCCUUUAAUCAAAUAAUUUCUCAAAUUACUAUAAGAAUUUGUACCUUUCGAGGAGAAGGUAUAACAUUUACAGCACUAUCUUUUUCUUAAGGCUUAGAUAUAACCUUUCCCUCUAGCUUUUAUAGUUGUUGUAUAGUCGUCGUUGGCAAGUCAUGUCUCGAGACAAUUUAUCAAUUGUCUUUAGACACACUGCACUAUAUCUCAAGACAAGUAGCUCCUAUCAAUUGGUACAAGCCAGUAUGAACUAGUAUAAGUUAGUAUUGACUGAAACGAGCUUAAACAUACUGGAAUUGUCAAAACACAUCAAAAUCUUAACCAUAAUGAAGCCUAUACUAUUUAGUAUUGGUUGAAGACCAGAAAGAUACGCAUCGAGUGUGUUAAAUGUUGAUGUCCUUUUUAUGUACUGUUUAUAUUUUUGUUCUUUUAAUAAUAUUUGUUUGGCUUAUAAAAAUUAUUUUUAUUAAAAUAAAAUAAAUGAAAAGCUUAUGCAAAGACUAAAAAAAGAUAUCAAAAUUUGCUAUGUUUUGAUAUUGGGCAUUUAAUAAUUUGUACCUAUAUUUAAAAAAAAAUUGUACCAAUACAAUUUCAUAAAAUUAGUACAAAUGGUCAUCAAAAUUCAGCGUAACUUCCUAAAUAUAUUGCUAAUUGAUAUAAUUGAGAACGGUUAUGCGGUUGAUAAUAAUCUUUUUGAACUUCGUUUAGUACAUGAUUUAUGCAAGUAAUAUUGGCAACUUAAGUUUCGGCAUGUCCUGCGAGAACAUAAGAGACUGACAGAUUGCAUGACCAAAGUUGUUCUUAGUAAUCUUAAUAGGUUAACAACUUUUGAAGACCCAGCUAAUCAUGCUCGAUCUUUGUUAGAAGAAGAUGCUCAUCGAGCAAUGAUUAAUAUAGACUCUCAUCAACCUAAUUGUAGCUAAUUCCUUGAACUUGUUUCUUUUUUAAAAAAAUUCACAAAAUGCAGAAAUAACUAUUAAUAAACUUUUUAGGAAAACAGAGCAUCUGUAUAAAUAUUUAUCAAAGACAUUGCUAGAAAGCAAAGCUUAUGUUUAUUUUAGUCAAUUUAACAAUGGCCACUUCAUCGAACGCGUUGCAUAUCCCUUGAUAACUUUACUUUGAUCUUCUUUAACUUUGUAACAACCUCUUUCAUAUGAAGCCUCUCAUUUGGUAACUCUGCAGAACAUUCUAAGCCAACUUGCAAAAUGGAUAAGGCACAAUUCUUGACUUUUAAAUGUUCCCUUCCAAUGGUGCUCAACAACUUGGGAUCUACAACUUGAUUUCGCGAAGAUGAUAUCGACUCUAUCACCCAACUCUUCAAGCUUCUUUCUCCUUCAAACAUUUCAUCUGUGGGCUUUUUUCUUGUGAUGAUUUCCAUCAAAAGAAUACCAAAGCUAUACACAUCACCUUUUGUCGAAACAAUUCCUUCGAUUCCAUAUUCUGUGUAUGAAUAUAAAAACAACAUUAUGAAUAUUCAAAGAUAUCUUGAUAAUGAAAAAUCCGUAUAAAAUGUACGAAACAUUAUAUGCUUGCAUGUUAUAAUUGAACUGGGAUUUAAUCUAGUUGCUUCCUUAAAAAGUCACAUUUAAUAUGUUUGAAACUCAAAUCUUAACAUAUAUGAUCCCUUUUGUUAUGCACAUGCUACGCUUACAUUGAAAAUGGAAAAAUAAACAUGGAGUUUGAUUAGAAGUAUCACCUGGUGCCAUAUAUCCAAAUGUUGCCAUUGUCAUGGUUUGUAUCAUUGAAACCUCUUCACGUAAGAGUUUCGCGAUGCCAAAAUCACUCAAAUGAGCAACCAUAUCUUCAUCUAAUAGAACAUUGUUGGGUUUUAAAUCACAGUGAACCACGGGUGUUGCAUUUUCAUGGUGGAGAUAUUCCAAUGCAGAUGCAACAUCUAUCAUUAUGUUCAACCUUUGUAAGAUAUCCAAAUAUUGGUUGUUGGAAUACAACCAUUUAUCAAGACUCCUAUUAGGCAUGAACUCAAGCACCAACGCUUUGAAAUUAAGAUCAUUAGAGCAACUGCUUAUUACUUUGACUAAAUUUCUGUGACGAGUGUUGCAGAGAACAUCACAUUCAACAUCAAAGCUCUUAAAAGCUCCUUCUAACUCUAACUUGAAGACCUUUACCGCAAUUACCGUCCCAUCCUGGAGAGUCCUUUGGAAUAGUGAACCAUAACUUCCAUUACCAAGCAACCUACUAUCAUUGAAUCCAUCAGUAGCUUGACGAAGCUCGUGGUAUGAAAACCGUCUCCACGUUCCUAAAGGUAUCAUGUCUUCUUGAGUUGGCAAUUUGUCUUUCCUCCUAUUUUACAAGAUAAUGAUUAUCAGAGCCACAACCAAAAUUGUGGAGGCAAUUGGCAGAGCUACAUAUAUUAUGAGCUUCAGCUUAGUUUUUGCCUUGGAAUUUCUAAGAGGUCUUGUUUUGCAGUUUGGAACAUGAAGUCGAGUUGCACCACACAAGGCUUCAUUACCCUUAAAUGAUUCGAUUGUGUAGUUUCCAAAUGAUCCUCCUUCAGGAAUUUUUCCUUCAAGUCUAUUAAAAGAGACAUUGAAAUAUUUGAGAUAACGGAGUUUCUUUAAGGAUUUGGGAAUCUCUCCAGAUAGAUUAUUUCUUGACAAGUCCAAGAAUUCCAAACUCAACAAUUCAUCAAAAGACUCAGGAAUAGAACCCAUGAUUCUAUUAUUGGAAAAGGAAAAAUGAGUGAGGUCCUUGAGAUCUGCAACUCCAGUUGGGAUAUCACCUGAGAACUGAUUGUUCGACAAAUCCAAACUAGUCAAAACUUUCCAUUUUCCAAUGUCAGUUGGCAGUGGACCACUUAGAGAAUUUGAAGACAAGUAUAGGAUGAGGAGAUAGUUAAGCCUUGUCAACGUGGAAGGUAUUGAGGAGGAAAACUUAUUGGAGUCUAGAAAUAGUUGCCUUAAUGAAGUGAGAUCACCUAAGCAAGCAGGUAUUGGUCCAGACAAUUUGUUAUUGGUCAAGAACAAGAAAGCCAAUUUGUUGAGAAGACAUAACUGAGAUGGGAUGGAUCCUUCUAACUUAUUGUCUUUAAGAGAAAGACUUUGCAACUCUUCCAAUCCACCAAUUGUAGUAGGAAUCUGUCCUAUCAAUUUAUUGCCUCCGAGAUCAAUGCUUAUCAAGUGACUUAAGUUUCCAAUUUCAUUGGGGAUGCUACCCCUGAUGUUGCAUGAAUAUGCAGAGAACUCUUCAAGAGAACUUGAGACAUUUCCUACCACUCUUGGAAGUUCACCACUAAUAAAUGGGUUGCUAUCGAAAGGAAAGUUCUCCAAGCCUCUACAGUUUGUCAAAGAAAAGAGAAAGCUCAUUCCUGAGGAAGUUAAAUUAUUACUCGCCAGGUUGACAAACUUUAAAUUUCUUAGAUUGCCUAGAUUAUCAGGAAUGGACCCUGAAAAGUAAUUAUUAGACAUGUCAAGAACAGUAAGCUGAGAGGCAUUGGAAAUAUACAUUGGGAUCGAGCCGACAAGGUGAUUGCUAGCAAGAUAUAAUUGCUCCAUGUUUGGAAGGAAAAGGCCCAUGUUUGAUGGAAGAUGGCCAGAGAGCUGAUUUAUAUCCAAAGCAAUCAUCCUUAAAGUUGAAAUAUUAAAUACAUGUGGAGGGAUAGAACCAGCAAGAUUGUUAAAGUCUAAAUCCAACCAAUUUAGAUUCUUUAGGUUGCCAAUCUCACGUGGUAUUAUACCUGCCACAAAUUUUAUCAAACAAAAAUAUUAGACAAAUAUGAGGAAGAAAAUAGUUUAUGUAUAUGAAACGUUUGCUUAUAUUUUUUAUAAUGUGUACAACUAUAGACAAUUAGUGUAUCAAAUAUGAAUCAACAAUAUUUACAAAAAAAAUUAAUUCACAAUAAAAUUGUUUUUAUAGAGCUCUUGCAAAUAUUAAAGUACUUCAAGUAAUUUUAAAUUGAAUUUUUAGGUUUAAAGUUGGAAUAAGUUCAAAAUGAGAAGGGAUUGUAUGAAAUUACAAUUCUAUGUCAUCUUUAUCCCUUAUAGGAGAAUAACAAAUCAGAUUUUUCCUCCUAAUUUUUAGCUUUUUCUUCUUGAAAAAAUUAAAAUCCAACUAAAAAAGUUAAAAAUUAGGAGGAAAAAUCUGAUUUAUCAUUCUCUUAUUGGAAAGGGAUAGAGAUUACGUAGAAUCACAGUUUCAUACAAUCACUUCUCAUUCAAGUUAUAGAAAAUAAUGAUGAAAUAAAUGAUAAAGAACAAACAUUUAUAAGUCAAAUAAAAUAAUUAAGAACAUAAUGGUGAAUUAAAUUUGUUUUCCUUUUAUCUGAUUUGAUAAAUUUAAAAUUUUUAAGAACAUAAAAAUAAAUCAAAUAUGAUUUUUGGUCCCUUGGAGUUUUGUUUGGCCUCAACAGGGGUAAAUGUAAAUAAUGGACUUAAAAAGAAAAAAAGAAAUAUACUAAUUGCAAUGACUAUGAAAAAUUUUAUAAUUAUUGUAGAAUAAUCAAAACACAGAAAGCGGUUGAGGAAAAUAAAGUUCAAAUUAAUAAAAACUAUCAGUAAAAGUUGCAAAUUAAUAAAAAUAAUUUGGAAAUAAUUUAACUCUUUCUUAUACAUUCACCUGUAAAAUUGUUAUUGGAACAAUCAAACGACAUAAGAAGAGUUAAAUUCACAAUUUGUUUAGGAAUUUCACCUGCAAUUAUAAAAUUCACAUAUCAAAUUAAAAAUUCAUCUCCUAGCAAGGAUUAUAAUAAUAAAAUUAAGGUAUAAUGGCUUAUUUAGCUCUUCAAUUUUAUUAAAAAGAAUCAUUUUAGUCUUUCAUUUAAUUUUUCAUCUCUUUUAGCCCUUAAACUUGCAAUGUUUGUCAAAUCAUCCCAAAAUAAAUUGAAAAUUCCAUGUGUAUGCCACAUCAACAAUUAAUUUUUAAAAUUUUAAAAAAAAUUCUAUUUUAUUACUAACGUGUUAGCAAAGUAAACAAACAUUAACUUUUCCAUACAUUUUUUGGGCUGAUAUAACAAACAAUACAAGUUCAAGAGCUAAAAGAAACGGAAAAUUAAAUAAAAAAUUAAAAUGAUUUUUUUUAUAAAGUUGAAGGGCUAAAUAAAUAAUUAUUUCUAAAGUAAACAAAGCACGUUAGCAAGGUAUUUCACAUCAUAUUAGGUGUCAUACACACUUCCAAGUCAAGUUGGAACUAAAAAAAUAUUUCUCUCAUCAUUUUGUCGUAGUUUAUUCUUCAAUCUUCUUUUGAAAAAUUUCAACUAUGUAUUCGUUUAAUAAAUAAAUUUAUAUUUUCAAUCUCAAUAUCUAAAUUAUUAUAUUCAUUACCUUAAUUUCUUUUCAAAAAAACAAAAAAAAAAAUCGUUCCUUGCAUCUCAAUGUACUUAAAAAAAAAGUAAACACUUCAAAAGGUUUUAAAAAUGGUUAGCAUAUAUUACCUUCAAAGUGGUUCCGACCAAUAGCGAUGUCUUGAAGCAGGCUCAAAUUCCCAAUUUCUAUUGGUAGGCUCCCCUCCAUUUGGUUAUACGAUAAAGCUAACACUUGUAACUCUUUGCACUUGAAUAGACUGGCAGGAAUUCUACCAGAAAGCAGGUUAAGACUCCAGUACAAUCCUUUCAAAUUUGGAAGAUGAUCAAACAUAUCUUUUGGGAUAUGACCAGUGAGAUUAUUGGAGGUGAAAUGGAUGACUUCUAGCAAAAGCAAAUCACGUGGAACAGAGGGUAUAGAACCAGAGAGUAUAUUAAUAUUAUUGUCAGUGAAUUUAAAUGCAUUGAAACAUAUUUAUCUUCUUAUAUAAUUAUUAGCAAAAAAAAAUUAUGGAUAGUUCUAGACAUUUUAUAAAAAGAAUUUGAUAUAACAAGAUUUAGAAAAUAAUUUGCAUUGUUUAUUUUAGGAAAUUAUUGAAUAAAGAGAUCAAGAAUUUUCAAUUUAAAAACUUUUAAAUUUAAAUCAUAACAGGAGGAGUUUAGUUACUUUACAAUUAUCCAAGAUGGAUUAAAUUUUGAACAAAAAGGAUAUUGACCAAAAAUUAAAAUAACCUUGAAAUCUUUUACAACAUUCAAUGAGGUUGAAAGAUUUUAUUUUUAAUUUUUUGAUUUUUUUUGAAAUAAUAACUUAUUUGGCUUCUAAUUUUUUUAAAAAGACUUUUUUUUAAUCUUUAAACUUAUAUUGCUUAUCAAAUUAUUUCAAAAUGAAUGAAAAAAAUAAUGUUUAUUAACAUUGUCGAUGUAAAUAAUAUUAAAUUUAUUUAAAAAGUAUAAAAAUAUUUUUUUAAAAUUAAUUAAUUGCUAACGUAACAUAUACGUGGCAAUCUAUAUGUAUGCCACAUCAGCAAAGUUAACAAAUGUUAUUUUUUUAUCCAUUAUAAGUUAUUUGACAAAUAAUGCAGUUUCAAGAGUUAAAACUGACGAAAAAUUAAAUAAAUGGCUAAAAUUACUUCUUCUUCUUUUUUAUAAAGUUGGAGGGUGGAAAAAUUGUUAUACAUUUUUUUUCUUGUCUUAUCAGUACCUUCGACAACACACCACCAUAAAGUAAGAAUAUAAAGCAUGGUUCAUUUAACUAGAUUUUUAGCAAGAAAAUUGAUAUUGUUGUCUGUAUAUAUAAAAAGACACAGGUUUAAACUUAUUGAAAUAUAUUUAUCCUUUUAUAUAAGGAUUAGCAAAAAAUUAUAGAUAUAUAAUUCUAAGCAUUUUAUAAAAAAAAAAGUUAUAUAAUAUGACAUAGAAAAUAAUUCACUUUUUAUUUUAGGACAUUAUUGAAUAAAGAAAUCAAGAAUUUUUAAUUUAAAAAUCUUAAAUUUAAAUCAUAACAGCAGAAGGAGUUUAGUUUACAAUUAACCAAGAUGGAUCAAAUUUGGCUUUAUAUCUAAGAUAUGAACACUGUAAAUAGAUUAAUGAUAAGCAUUAAACUAAAUUAUUGGAAUAAAAAGAUAAGCAAUUUUACAAUAUUGGUGCUGGGAACAUAUCUCUAUAGAUUCAGUAAUGGCGCGCUCUCCAAUUUUCUAAGUAUUCAGUGGCUUACCCCUUCGUUGGGUUUGGUUUGGGACGGCUGCUUAACUUAGUUGUGCAAUCUAAAGUCUUUCCACUUUGUCGUUUUAAAAGUAUGCAUAUCUGAGUGCGGGAAGAAGUGAUUGCGAAGUUGACACUUUUUCAACUUAUUACAAAAUAAAAAAUGAAAAAAGGAGACACAAAUUGUUUACGUAGUUCGGUUUUUUUACGCUUGCGGAUCUUAGUUUAGUGAGAAAUAUCUACUAUCUUCAACAUUUAUAAUAAGUGAUCUUAAAUCUAUCACAACCCACUGGCAAUUUCCUCACUUUUGUACCUUUGAAGACUAGUACUCUCACCACUAAAUUCACCUAUGUGAACUUAAUUUAUAAAAUCACAAUACACAAGUUUUACAAUCAAAUGCACUCUUACAAACAAUAUUCUUCGCUUAAACAGACUAAGUGCUCUCAAUUCUCUACACAAUCACCUAUACAAGUCUCUCAAUUAUAUAUAGAUUUCGAGAUUUACUAACAUAAUGAAAAUCUAAAUCAAUCUCUAUUAAACAACAACUAAACUAGUUGAAUAAAUUAUAAUAAUGAAUAAGGUAAACAAUGAUUGUUGGCAGCUAAGUCUUCAACGUUCCAAUUCGAUUCAACUUCCUCGAUCUAAGCGAUUAGAUAGACAUGGUCUGAUCCAAUCCGAUCCCUUAAACAUGUUUCCUGAAGUGAUAUGAUCUGUAACACCCCAAACCCGGCCUAGACAUUAUGGCCAAAUUUGGGAGUGUUACGAAGAAGGGUUUUAAAAUCAAUCUUAUUAUUAUUUUCGUUAAGGGAAAUAUUGUUAAUUUGAUCUUUCAGAAAACUUAUUUUGCAGCGGAAGUUUGAUAUUGUUAAAGUUGAAAAUCGAGUUUGUGCUUUCAGAAAAUAUUUGCUUGCGUAAAACCGUAGUUUUGUCAAAUCUCACAGUAUAAAAGUCAAAAAACACAUCCAAAACCAAAAUUAAAACAAAUAGUCCAGAGAGUCCCAAAAUUACAAAACUCUCAACAACAAUUCAAAUUUUUAAAAACAUCGUUAAUCAAAAUAGUUCGCAAACUAGUGGUCACCACUGAGACUCUGUCGCACCGACCCGCCUAUGUCUGAGGACUACCUUAACAAAACAGAUAACAUAUGUGAGUUUUCAUAAACUCAGUGUGUAACCCAACAGAGAUAGACAUACAAAUAUACUCAGAAUUUCCAUAUGCAAAAUAGAUAUACAUACAAACAUAAGUCCUUAACAGAACCAGAUAGUUAGAACACAGAUAUGCAAAAUCCUACCCCCAUCCUCUACACACCAUCUCCGACCAUCCUAUCACACCAUGUGGGGUAUAAAACACCCACCCAUCCCUACAUACCACAUAGUGUCUGCACGACACUUAUCAGAAUAAUUUGCAGCUAUGCUGCUAGAGUAAGGGCAAAAUAUGGCCUCACAGAACAUUCCUUCAAUAAAUAGAUCCCACCCCGUAUAUAUAUAAAUAGCAGAUAAUAGAUAUAAUAAAAUUAUCAAGUCUUGCAUGCUUAUAUAUAUAUAGGUAGCAUACAUGUUAUUACGAACUAGUCAAAACAUACAUAUCAAUUUCUAAAUGCUCAAAUCAGACUAUCAGAAUACAUGUAUCAUGCAUUAAGGUAUGUUUUGCCCUUACCGACCCGACCGAAGGCCCAAAGUCGAUUGAAUAAACUUAUGUGACCAUAGAGAAGAUUUCAGAAUUUUGGGCUUACAUGCUUGUGUGGGCCUACACGCCCAAAUUGGCCUUGCUCGUGUGGCCCACACGACUUGGCCCCAAAUUGGCCUAUCCCGUGUGUCGUACAUGCCCGUGUGGCGUGAUAGACCACUUUUUUGGAUUUUACCGAACCUUAUUUUUCUGUGUUUUUGUUACACACCUGGUUCAUUUUUUAUGCUACAACAAUCCCGAGACCACCAGAACCUAACAAUCACAAUACAGGCUCCCAAAAUCAGUCUUACUCCUCAAUUAAACCAAAUUACAGAAAUUGACUACAGUGGAAAUCGAGUGUUCAUCACUUACCCAACUUCCCGAACGAUCUCUAUUAUACGAUUCCACAAGAGGAGAGCUCCGUUCCUCACAAUUCGCUGCUGCCAACAACUCAAAAAAUCAAUACUAACGAAAAAGACAACAUCGUUAAAAAGAAAAACUGCUUUCAAAGAAAUCUCCCCUAACCCAUGCUAAACCUUUCAACCACUACUUACCAAGCCGUACGAAAAUAGGAAGACCAAAACACCUUGAUUUGAAAGGGAGGUUAUGACAGAAAUCAAAAAGAAAAGAAAAAGAAAAUUUUGACAAUAGGAGAAUAGAAAAACGUCAGAAGGGAAAAAAAAUUUGGGAAAAGAAAAUAAAAAUAAAAUAAUAUUUAAAUAAAAUAUCCCUUCAACUCCCACUAAUCCACAUCCAACCACCUUAGAAUUUCAGCUCCACCCAAACUCUAUCAGACUACCAAGACAAAAAUUAUCAUCCUUGCUCCCGCAGGGACUCGAACACAAGACCUUUAGGCAAGUUAACUCCUUACCACUCGAACCAGCAAGCUCAUUCUAAUACAAGUGUACCGGAAGUAUAACAUAAGCCCACCCAACAGGGAUAAGACUAGGAUAAAAAAUAUCAUAUUUUUCAAAAGUGAGACUUGAACUCAAGACCUCAAACACACAAUCAGAAUACUUAGCCACUGAAGCAAAUACAUAUUUAUGACAUAAUUCACAGAAACAAGGUUAAAUAAUCAAGGCGUUACAUGAUCUUUAUUGAUGGGCUAGAUAAAAUCCACAAUAUCAGCACAACCAAAAAAUUCGGUUCAAUAAAUUGUCAAUCACCUAGAUAUGAAAACAGUUUAACCAAUUGCAGUGCUUCAGGAAGUGACACUUCCUCAAGUAUAUCUUAGUCAUUCCAUAUUUUUCAACAAUCUUCCCUUUUGACAAUUUGUUGAAUAAAACAUAAACAACACUUGGAGCUAUAUCAUCAGGUAACUUUAUCUCCCCCUUAGCAUUUCCCAUUAUUUCCAAAACUAUCUUAGAAAAUAAUUAAGUAAAUUAACCAUAUGUUGGUGUGGAACUUUGGUGAGGAAAAUCUCAAACACAUAAAAGGAGCUCAAACGGACCAUGAACAACAACUCGAAUAGAAAAACAAAGCAAUAAAACAAGGUUCCAAGGCGUGUAUCAAACAUCUAUCUUUAAGGUUCUAUUUGCUCUACCUAUACUCGGUGUGGAAAUGAGUUUCAAGCAAAUGAACCUCAAAGAUACAAUGAAGCUCGGUGACUAUUUGCGACUUGUAUUGAUGAAAUAGUUCACUAAGCACAAAACAGGGUAUAACAAAAAAAAUAAAUUUCUAUAAAGAAUUUCGGUAGUAAUUCUUUAUAGAAUAAUCUAAUAAUAGUAGAAGAUGGAGGAAUGAUAGAAAAAUCUUUUGAGAAUUUUUUGUAUUUUUUCAACUGAAAUCUCACUCCCAUUUAUAGGAAUACUUAUGUCUCUUAAUAGGGACACAACUUUCGAUAGGUGUCUUUUCUGAAUAAUCCCUUUUUAAAAGAGACAUAAUUAUGCAACUAAUAUCUUAUAAUUAUUCAAGUAAUAUUUCUUGUAUAGUUAUAAUUCUAAGUAAUAUUACUAGUAUAGUUAUAAUUCUUUGUCAAAAAUCAAGUGAUAUAACUCUUGACCAAUAACCAAAAUACAUUAUAUCCUUUUCCUGUUAUAUGGCUCAGAAGAGCUUCCCGUUUACAUGCUUAUAUAAGCAUACAAGUACAUGAAUUGAUGGAUUAUAGAUUUGUACACUUCGUGUGUACUACCCGUGUAUCCAACGAUAUUUUAAAUCGUUCAACAGGCAAAGUUCUGAUAAGAAACAAUAUGAGUUUGAAAUGAACAAUUAUGGGUGUAUACUUGAAUUACAUGGAAAUGAUAUUGAUGAUAAUGAAACAUGAAAUGGGAUGAUACAUGUAUAUGGAACUUGCUUGGUGAUUAUGUUCACCCAUGUUUAUGGAAUAUUACAUGAGAUUCACAUGACUAACAUGUUGAGGAUAUGUGUAUAGGCUUUUGGCUAAAUUGGUUUGGAUAUGUUAUGAAUGCUUACCUUAAAUGUGAAUAAAUGGUAAGUUAAAUUCCAUGUUAUACAAACUUACUAAGCUUAAAUGCUUACUCUAUUUUAUUUUCCAUGUUUUAUAGUAAUUCAGAAGCUCGAUUUGGUUGGAAGUUGGUCGGAGCUACUUCACACUAUCCAUCAGCUUUUUUGGUACAUAUAGUAAACUAAUUUUGGUUAUAAUGGCAUGUAUAGGUUAAUUUGGCCAAUGAUGGUAUACCAAUAUUUUAUUGAAAUUAGCCAUUUGUAUGGCUUGUAUUUGGUAUAUUUUGAUGUAUAUAUACUUGUGGCCUUAUCAUGUUUGAUGUGUGCUUGUUGUGGUUGAAUAUGGGAUAAUUUAUAAGCAUAUUGAUGAUUGGUAUGAGAGAGUGUAUAUUUGGUAAAAAUAUUCAUAUAUGUGUAUUUGGUCAAUUUGGCAAGUUUGAACACUUGGAUAUAUGUGUUGAUAUGUUAUGUAUAAAACUUUUUUUUAGCUUGAUUUGAAUGCCUUGUUAUGACUUGAUGUUGUGUAAGUGUUGUGUUAGGUUGAUGAUAAAUGAGGUAAGAAAUGUGGCUUGGAAAUGACCUAUUUUUGGCCACACAGGCAGAACGGGCGUGUGUCCCCUGUAUAUUAAAUUUGCACAAAAUAGAAUGCUUACACGGCCUAGCACACGUGUGUGUGGAUUGGCCGUGUGACAAGUCAUAGAGCUCAUAAGUUUGGACAUGGGUUGGGAAACGGCAGUGUGUCCCUAUUUUGAAUACCCACAUGGCCUGAGACACGGGCAUGUCUCUUGACUGUGUGAGACACAUGGCCUAGCCAUACGGGUGUGUGUCUCAUGCACCUUUGAAAAUUUUUAAUAUUUUCUGAAAAAUUCUUUGAGUACCUGAUUUAGUCCCGACUUGUUUCUAAUGUGUAUGUUGGGCCUCGAGGGCUCACAUAAGGAACAUUAUGCUUGAUUACGACUGUUUUCGGAUAUGAAUAAUAUCUGUUUAUUUGUUUUGUAAAUUCUGGUAAUGCUCUGUAACCCUAUUUCAGCGAUGAACACGGGUUAGGGGUGUUACAACAACCUAAUGUCGAAAAGGGUGAGAAUCAAUGUCUUUAGGUUAUUGCCUAGAAUGAGUUUGUUAUGUAUGAGGUUAUGCUUGAGGGCGUGCAUGAUUAAGGAUAUAUAGGCGAGAAUGAGGUCUUGAUGACCCAAGAGGUGGAAGACCAUGUCGAGAACUCUACAACCAAUUCCUAGUUUGAUGGUGCAAUAAAGGAGGAUGUGAAAAUUGAUGAGCUCAAAGUAAAGGGUAUUGGUGCUGAUGGUGUGGGCAAAGGCGAUGCCCAAUGCUUGACAAAUUUGACAAGGAGUAAAGUCAGACAUAUAAUAAAAUUUAUUAUUUAUAAAAUAAACUAAAAAAAGAUAGAGAGAAAAGUUUGAAUAUGAUUUAAGUCUUGUUUGUGAGGGUUUUUUUAAAAUAUUUUAUUUAUAAAAGUAUUAUUUUAAUAAAUAAAUUUUAUGUUAGAAAUAAGAGAAAAUGGGUAUUCAUUUAGUAUGCAUAUUUAUCAAAAAAUAAACUUUUAAAUAUUUUUAUUUUUGAAUUUUCAAGAAGUAAAAUUAAAUUGACAGAAUGUGUAAAGUUGAGAGCUAAAUUUGUUGGUUUUUUAGAUUUAAGGCUAAAUUGAUAGAAUCUGUCAACAUUGGAGGGUUAAACUUGUUAUCCAAUAAAAAAGGCCACUGUUAGUGAUUUAACAAAGGAGAGAUCAAAAUAUUAAAUUUCAAUAAUGAUAAUGACUAAAAUAGAAAAUUUUAAACUUGAGUGACCAAAAUAGAAACACACUAAUAAUUGGGUGACUAUUUUAUACUUUGCCCUAGAUUGAAUAAUGGUUACCAAUUUUCGACCCCUUUGUUGGGUGACUAAUAAUUGGCUUGACUUACUUUUGUGCAAUCUAAAGUCUUUCCACUAUGUCGUUUAAAAACAUCAACAAGUGCUUAUCACCUUAUAAUAUAAUAGUCUAAUUUGAGAGAAACUUCAAUAUUGGGAUAAUUUUAUAAUCAAUUGGACAACGAAGCUAUCAGUUUUGUUCUUCAAGGAUAAUUAAGGUCUGGUAUGGAAACAUAAACGAUCCCUAAAUUUCCUGGACUUUGUUGUGCAUUUUAAAGUCUUUCUUUGGGUAAAUUGUAAAAAUAGUCACUCAAUUUUGGUUAAAUUUAUUUUUUUAUCAUUGAAUUACAAGAAGUUACGUUUUAGUCACUAACAGUAUCGAGUUAUAACAUAUUGGUCACUUGUCCAUUAACCGUCGUUACAUCUUUGAAAGUGAUGUGGCACGUUAACUCAAGGGUUAAUAUCUAAAUUGACUCUAAAUUAUAGUUAAAAUAUUCUAUUUGGUCUUUUUACAACUUUUUAAUGAUGAUUCUAAAAUUAUUCAUUAAAAAUACAAGAAAAUGAAAAUUUUCAAAAAUUAUUUAUUUAUUUUUUAAAACAAUAAAAAUAUUUAUUAGAAAUUAUUUAUUUAUUCAUUAAAAAUGCAUUCUUUCAUGAAUCUUUUUACUGUAGCUUUUUAGAAAAUGUCGCGGAUAAUAUUGUUUUUCGUGAUGUUUUCUAAAAAGGUUACAAAAAAAAACAUAGUUUUUAUGAUGUUUUUGCAAAUAGACACAAAAUAGAAGUCCCGAAAAUUAGAAUUCUCAUAGCGAUGACUCAAUCCCUUACCUUUAUUGUUUUAAAAAUAAUUUUUUAAAGAAAUAGGAUCUCAUGCAUAAUUGUUGAUGCACAUUAUAUUUAUGUUAUACCUCUCACAUUCUCAAUGUGUUGUAUUGUUGAACAAGUAAUCUUGUUACUUCUAUUGUGGCAAAUUCAAUGGAGGGAGUUAUCUUCUUAUUUCUACCACAAAAAGUUUCUCAAUUUAUUUCAUUGGGUGAAAAUCUAAUGGCAAUCAACAAAUUAGAUAACAAUUCCCAUGGUACUCGUUGGAUAACCCGGCCAUCUUUUUUUACGGGAUGUAAACUUUUCUAAAUAAUAAGAAUAGAAAAGAAAAGUUUGGGCAUUUCAAUUUAAGUAGCUCACCUCUAAUUGCUUACCUCCAUUAUUUUAGUAUACCUCAAUUAAUGAUUUCCCAAAUCAUUAUAAGAAUUAAUACCUUUCAAGACGAAUGUGUAACAUUUAUAAAACUAUACUUUUCUUAAGACUUAGAUAUAAACUUUCCCCCUAGCUUUUAUAGUUGUUAUAUAGUCGUUGACAAGUCAUGUCUUGAGGCAAUCUAUCAAUUGUCUCUAGACACACUGCACAAUGUCUUAAGAAAGGCCGAUAUGAAUCAGUAUAAGUCAAUAUUGACUGAAACAAGCUAAAACAUACUAGAAUGGUCGAUACGCAUCAAAAUCUUAACCAUACCCUAGACUACAUCGUAUUGGUUGAAGACCAGAAAGAUACGUAUCAAGCGUGUUCUAUGUUGAUAUCUCUUUUAUGUGCUGCUCUAUAUUUUUGUUCUUCUAAUAAGAUUUGUUUGGCUUAUAAAAAAACUAUUUUUAUUAAAAUAAAAUAAAUGAAAACCUUAUGCAAAGAUUGAAAAAUGAGAUCAAAAUUUUCUAUGUUUUGAUAUUGAGCAUUUAAUAAUUUGUAGCUAUAUUCUACAAAGAAAAAAAAUUGCACCAAUACAAUUUCAUAAAAUUAUUACAAAUGAUCAUAAAAAUUUAGCGAAAUUUAAUAUUUCUAAUUGAUAUAAUUGGGAAUGGUUAUGCGAUUAAUAAUAAUCUUUUUGAACUUUGUUUAAUACAUGAUUUAUGCAAAACAAUAUUGGCAACUUAAAUUUCUGCAUGUCUUUUUAGAGCAUAAUAGAUUGGCGGAUUGUAUAGCCAAAGUUGUUCCUAGUAAUCUUAACAGGUUAUCAACUUUUGAAAACCAAGUUGAUCAUGCUUAAUCUUUGUUAGAAGAAAAUACUCAUCCAACAAUGAUUAAUAUAGAUUCCCAUCAACUUUAUUGUAACUAAUUGCUUGAACUUAUUUCUUUUUUUAAAAAAUUCACAAAAUACAAAAAUAACUAUUAAUAAACUUUAUAGCAAAACAAAGCAUCAGUAUAAAUAUUUAUCAAAGACAUUUCUAGAAAGCAAAGCUUAUGUUUAUUUUAGUCAACUUGAUAGCUACCACUUCAUCGAACUCAUUCCAUAUCUCUUAAUAACUUCACUUUGAUCUUCUUUAACUUUGUAACAAUCUCUUUCAUAUGAAGCCUCUCAUUUGGUAACUCAAAACAACAUUCUAAGCCCAGUUGCAAAAUGGAUAAGGCACAAUUCUGGACUUUUAAAUCUUCCCUUCCAAUGGUGCUCAACAACUUGGGAUCUACAGCUUGAUUUAGCGAAGAUGAUUUCGACUCUAUCACCCAACUCUUUAAGCUUCUUUCUCCUUCAAACAUUUCAUCUGUGGGUUUUUUUCUUGUGAUGAUUUCCAUCAAAAGAAUACCAAAGCUAUACACAUCACCUUUUGUCGAAACAAUUCCUUCGAUUCCAUAUUCUGUGUAUCAAUAUAAAAACAACAUUAUGAAUAUUCAAAGAUAUCUUGAUAAUGAAAAAUCCAUAUAAAAUAUACGAAACAUUAUAUGCUUGCAUGUUAUAAUUGAACUGGGAUUUAAUCUAGUUGCUUCCUUAAAAAGUCACAUUUAAUAUGUUUGAAACUCAAAUCUUAACAUAUAUGAUCCCUCUUGUUAUGCACAUGCUACGCUUACAUUGAAAAUGGAAAAAUAAACAUGGAGUCUAGUUAGAAGUAUCACCUGGUGCC